rnacentral:lncRNA from 1 species
GCGAGGCUAGGGACCGAGGAAAGGGAAUCGCCACGAGCUAGCUUGUGAGCGAGGGACGUUCGAUAGGUGGUCCACCUCUUCUUUGUUUUCUUUUUGGGAGAGGAUGAGAGUUGUAUCUUGUAUAGAGACCACCCUUUUUGUAGUGCUUUUGUGACGACUCUUGUACUGACUUUAUCUUUUUCUUUAGCAGUUUACUUUCCCCUUUCUCUACUUGUUGUUAGUUGUUAGCUGUUAGUAGCUCUGAUAUCUCUAGUAACUUUAUUUCUUCUUGCUUCCAUAUCUCUUUUGUUGUAGAUGCCUUAUAUGUGCAGGCAUAUGGCGGGUCUGGGCAUGCACCGGGCGGGCCUAUGCCGGGUCCCGGGGCGUGACAGAUUAAUUUGGUAUCAGAGUCUAGGGUUGAGUCUUAGAGGACCUACUAAACCUUAGGCCGGUUGGACUAUAGGAAAUAGGCUCGUGAGAGACGAGGUCUAUUUGACUUGUAAGCGAAAGUAUUUCAAUUGGGUUUUAUGAUAACUCUAAAAAGUUAGAGUUGAUUGGAGUGUAUGACUUCUAACUUCGCGGAGGGUUACGUUGGCGGCCGACAACGUAAUAUCGGGACUUAGUGGUGAAGAACACUCCUUACUUUCGCAAGAUUUGGGUUUUGUCUACUUUGAGCGGGGAUGCGAUAGCGUGGGUUUUACUAACUUGCACUUUUAUGUUUGUAGUGGCGAUGCCGAUUACACGCUCCCAAUCUACCGGAGCGGAUGAUGCGGCACACCUCGAGGAGGUUGAGACCUCCGCUACUUCCGGAUCUAGCGAGGUCCGCGACUUGAGGUCCCAGCUUGCGGUCCUCACUGAUCUUGUAGCGCAGCAGGCGGCGGCGGCGUAACGACAGGCCGAGGUGGCACAGCGGCAGGAGGCGCGAAUGAAUCACCUGGAGGAUCUCUUGCUACAGCAGGCGGCAGCUUCUAGGGAGACUCAGGUUUCCACACCACCAGCGCCCGUUGUGAACGUUGCGCCGAGGGCGCAAUCCCCCGCGCCCAGUUCUUCGUGUGCCGCGGCCGAGACCGAACCUCGGGAGGAAGUGGUCACAGCACCACCGGUUCAGAUACCUGCGGCGAGGGCAGCUUUCCCUGUGAUAGCUGAGGGAGCCGAGCUGGAUCGGCUCAUGGAUCGCCUCAGUGAGUUCAGGAGGUGCGGUCCGAGGAUCUUUGACGGCGAGAAGGUCGACCACUAGAUUGUUGAGAAGUGGUUGAUGCAUAUGGAGAAGCUUUUUCGAGAUACCUUUGUUGAGGAAAGGGAUAGAGUUUGGCUCGCCACACAUCACUUGGACGGCGAGGCCUAUUGUUGGUGGUUGAAUAUCUAGGACAACCCUAACACUGAUUUGGUAGCAAUUUCUUGGACGAGCUUCAAGGAGCUUCUUCUGGCGCACUACUUCUCUACCAGCGUCAAGAGGAAGAUGGAGAAGGACUUGCGCAGCUUACGCCAGGAGGAGCGGACAGUGGCCGAGUACGAGAGGGAGUUUUCUUGGCUACUCCACUGUGUACCCUUCGUAGUGCGGGACGACGAGGACAAGGUUUGCAUUUUCGAGCAUGGAUUGCGGCCUUCGAUCUUUCGGUUGGUGCAGUCCUCCAACUUCCAAACCUACCGGGAGGUUGUGAACCGCGCCCUCAUCAUGGAGAGCAGCGCGGUGGAGCUUCAGGAGCAUCGCGAGGGCUUGGAGAAGGGGAAGGGCAAGAGGCCUGCGGCUGAGGGUGCGAGCCAGACGCAAUCGCAGAGGCCGCGGAGGCAUCCCAGGAGCCGGAGCUAGUCGCGAGGACGUGGCCAGUCUACUCAGCGAGGAGGACCCGAUCGUCGCCAGGCUCCGUGCUGCGUGAUUUGUGGUGGUCUUCAUUACCUACGACAGUGUUCACGCAGUCGGGGCAGGUGCUACCUGUGUGGCCAGGAGGGCCACUUCCAGUCGGACUGUCCGAGGGGUCCAUCGCCAGCGCCAUCGUCGGCAUCUGCACCAGCUUCACCGGGUCUCAGCCAGGGGACACCUUCUGUACACCAGCAGGCUUGGCGGCCACCUGUGCAGUGGCAGUUGGAGGAGUCACGGCAGCCCCGAGCGGGCGCAUGUACGUGGCCCGGACGGAGGAGGCGGCAGCGGCUGAGAAUGUGGUUGCGGGUAUCAUUUUACUUUAUGGUAUUCGAGUACGUGCAUUAUUUGAUACCUGUGCAUGGCAUUCAUUCUUAGACCGGCUAUUUGCCGAGUUGCAUGGCAUCCCACUCGUUUCUUUGUUGCACCCGGGACGUGUAGUUGUUCCUGACCACUCCUUAAAUAUUAGAGAGAUUUAACCCAGUUGCCCUGUUCAGGUCGGAGAUUGGAUCAUACCCGCGGAUCUAUUUGCAUUGCGCAAACUAGAAGAGUUUGACGUGGUUUUGGGCAUGGAUUGGCUAAUCAAGUACUACGCCACUAUCGAUUGCAUGAAUCGAAUGGUGACGUUCAAAGAGCCGGGGCAGGCAGAGGUUGUGUAUUGAGGAUGCCGGAGUUCGCUGUUUGCGAUGACUAUUAGCUCCUCUCGAGUUAGGCAGUUGAUUAGCAGAGGCUGCAUAGCCUAUUUGGCUGCCAUUGCGUUGCAGGGCGAAGUCGACGCCCCUAGGAUUGAGGACAUCCCCGUCGUGCGGGAGUUUGGAGAUGUGUUUCCAGCAGAGCUACCAGGCAUGCCACUGGAUAGGGAGAUUGAGUUUGUGGUGGAUCUCGUCCCUAGGACUACUCUAAUCUCAAAGGCGCCCUAUAGGAUGACAUCGGCGGAAUUAAAGGAGCUGAAGGCACAGUUGCAAGAUCUUUUGGAUAAGGAUUUUGUGUGUGUCACCUUGGGGAGCACCGGUCUUGUUUGUCAGGAAGAAGGACGGGUCACUUCGCUUGUGUGUGGACUAUCAUGAACUUAAUAAAGUCACGAUCAAGAACAAGUACCCGUUACCGAGGAUCGACGAUCUGUUUGAUCAGCUUCAGGGAUCGAGUGUGUACUCUAAGAUCGACUUGCAGUCGGGGUACCACCAGUUGAAGAUUGCACCCGAUGAUGUAUCGAAGACGGCUUUUAGAACACGGUAUGGACAUUACUAGUUUACGAUUAUGCCGUUUGACCUCACUAACGCUCCGGCAGCUUUUAUGGAUUUAAUGAACCGUGUGUUUAAGCCUUAUUUAGACAGGUUCAUCGUAGUGUUCAUCGACGACAUUUUGGUCUGUCUCGAAGUGAUGCAGAUCAUGAGGAACACUUGAGACUUGUAUUUCAAGUGCUUCGGAAAAAAAACAUUUUGCCAAACUGAAGAAGUGUGAAUUUUAGCUUAGAGAGAUGGCGUUUUUGGGCCAUUUGAUUUUCGGAUCGGGUAUAGCCGUGGAUCCGAGGAAGAUUGAGGCUAUCAGGGAUUGGCUGAGGCUGACGAGUGUUACCGAGAUACGGAGUUUUAUUGGCUUUGGUCGGCUACUACCGACGGUUUGUCGAGGGAUUUGCAAAGCUAUCUACUCCCCUCACGAGGCUCAUGCAUAAAGGCACCAAGUUCAUUUGGAAUGAUGUGUGUGAGAAAAGCUUACAAGAGCUGAAGCGGAGAUUGACUACCACCCCGAUUCUAACCUUACCGAUUGCUGGAGCAUGGUAUGUGAUUUAUAGUAAUACUUCUUUUAAUGGAUUGGGCUGUGUUUUGAUGCAGGACGGGAAAGUGAUCGCGUAUGCAUCUCGCAAACUGAAGGAUUAUGAAAGGAAUUACCCUACUCACGACUUGGAGUUGGCGGCCGUGGUCUUCGCCUUGAAACUAUGGCGCCAUUAUUUGUACGGCGAGCGAUGCGAAGUAUAUCCAGAUCACAAGAACUUAAAGUAUCUAUUCACUCAAAAGGAGUUGAAUUUGAGGCAGCGCAGAUGGUUGGAGCUCCUCAAGAAUUAUGAUUUGACAAUCCUUUACCACCCGGGCAAGGUAACGUGGUGGCGGAUGCGCUAAGUAGGAAAUCGACGGAAAACUUAGCGAUGCUUGUUGCUACUCAACAGCUGUUGAUGGAGCAGAUGAAGCGGUUGGAGUUGGAGGUAGUGGCUCCUGAUACACCUUUGGGUUGAUGACUCUGCGGUGCAACCUACACUUUCGAAAAGGAUUAAAGAAAAACAAACUCACGAUGCGGAGUUGCAGAAGAUUAGAGAUAAAAUGAUUGGAGGUUGCACCGGUGAUUUCACUGAGGACGGUGAUGGAUUGAUGCAUUUUCGCGGACGGAUUUGUGUACCGACAGAAUCGGCACUUAGAGAAGAAAUUCUACAAUAAGCGCACCGAGUGCCGUAUGCUAUACAUCUAGGAGGCACCAAGAUGUAUAAGGACUUAAAGUUGCUCUAUUGGUGGCCCGGGAUGAAAAAGAAUGUUGGCGAGUUUGUUACUAGAUGUCUAACUUGCCAACAGGUUAAAGCUGAGCACCGAGUUCCCGCGGGAAAGUUGCAGAGCUUACCGAUUCCAGUGUGGAAAUGGGAGAAGAUCACCAUGGACUUCGUGACAGGAUUGCCCCGCUCACAGGCUGGGCAUGAUGCUAUUUGGGUGAUCGUGGAUAGGUUAAGGAAGUCGGCGCACUUCAUACCUAUUCAUACUAUUUGGAUCGGGGAGAAGCUCGCACAUGUGUACCCUGAUGAGAUUGUGCGACUUCACAGAGUGCCUACGUCGAUAGUAUCUGAUUGAGACACCCGGUUUGUGUCUCACUUUUGGAGAAGUCUACAAGACGCCCUAGGCACUCGACUGGAUUUCAGUACAGCUUUCCACCCUCAGAGUGACGAGCAGUCAGAGCGCACUAUACAGACUUUAGAGGAUAUAUUCCGGGCAUGUGUGAUAGACUUCCAGGGAGGAUGGUCGCAGCAUCUUCCGAUGGCAGAGUUUGCUUAUAACAACAGUUAUCAAGCAAGCAUCAAGAUGGCACCUUUCGAGACACUCUAUGGACGGAAGUGUAGAUCACCACUUCAUUGGAGUGAAGUUGGCGAGAGAUUGGCUUUAGGCCCAGAUGUGCUCCAGGAAGCUGAGGACAAGGUUCGAAUUGCUCGGGAGCGAUUUUUGAUGGCACAGAGUAGACAAAGGAGCUACGCCGAUUGACGACGGCGAGACUUGGAGUUCCAAGUUGGAGACCAUGUAUUCUUGAAGGUCUCGCCAACUAGACGGAUCAAGAGAUUUGGGAUUCGGGAAAAGUUGAGCCCCUGUUUUAUUGGACCGUAUGAGAUCUUGGAACGUAUAGGUCCGGUAGCAUAUCGACUUGCUCUACCACCGAACCUAUCGGGCGUGCACAACGUCUUUCACGUAUCGGUCCUUCGGAAGUAUGUCUUCGACCCGACUCAUGUGUUGGAUGCUACCCCGUUGGAGUUGCGGGACAAUUUGAGCUUCGAGGAGCAACCCAUGGAGAUCUUGGCUAGCAAGGUGAAGAAACUACGGAAUCGGGACAUUCCGUAUGUAAAGGUGCUUUGGAGAAACCACGGGGAACGGGAGGCCACGUGGGAGCUAGAGAGCGUGCUGCAGGAGCGCUAUCCCCAUCUUUUUCAGAUAGAGUCUUGAGGUAUGCAGUUGCUUUGAGUAUCGCGGACGAAACUCCUUUUUUAGGAGGGGUGAAUAUAACACACUGGACCGUGCAAAUUGUGAGGUCAGAGUGUAUAACACACUGGACCUUUGCAAUUUGCAAGGUUCGAGUGUUUGGACGGUGCCCUGAGUUUUUCCAGACUUUCUGGUGGGUCGUAGACAGUGUCCGACCUAAGGCUCGUGUCCCGAGAAUGGAGGUUUGAAGCUUAGCACCAAAACCCAAAAAAUCGGAUUUUUGGUUAGCUCUCGAGUAGCCUUCAUUGGGCUGUGUACCGGUACAGGGUUGAUGGCUGUACCGGUACAGGGUUGAUGGUUGUACCGGUACAGGAUCGUGUACCGGUACACAGGCAGCUUCCCAGCCAACCCGAGGCUCGGGUUUGGCUAUUUCGUGGGAUGUGUACUGGUACGUGGGCCCGUGUACCGGUACGCAGUGCAGAUUUCUGAGCAGUUCGAACUGCAGGGGUGUUUUUGCAUUGUGGCUUCUCUAUAUUACACCCACGCCCCUUGGAGUGUUCCCUAAGCUAGGGCACAGCCGGAAUAAGGUGAGGAGCCCUCUCCUUCCCCUCUCUUUUGUAUUCUUGCUUUUGGAUUAGAUUUUUUUGAGGGUUAAAUCCUUUCUUUCUCCCUCUUUUUGUUUCUUGGUGGUUUCUCCACCAUGGUUGAAGGUUGAGCUCGGGAUUGGAGCUUGUUGGAGGUGAGAUCUUGUUAUUUAGAGGACUUAGAGCUUGGAUUGAAGCUUCUAAAAGGUAAGCCACUUACUCUUUUCCUUAGAUUUGGUUUUUGUCGAUCUCUAUGAGAUGAAACCCUAGAUUGUGGAUUUAGGGUUUAUUUUUGGGGGUUUUGGACUUGGGGCUUUUUGAUCUAAAUCGAUGGGUUUUGAACUUUGGUUUAGGUUGGAUUUGAAGGGUUAUUACUCUCAUUUGGAGAUUGAGAGAGGAUUUCACCUCACAAUGUGAGUUUUGCCCCUUUUCUUGUAUUGGUUAAUGUUUAACCUAGGAGUUGUUCGUUCGGUUUGUGUGACUCUUCGUUUUGUACCCUUAGGGUCCUAGAAGAGUAGUGGAUACCUUCGUUGGAGCUUACGAAGGAUUUCGUGACGCCGUGGUGGGUUUGGCUUCUUUGAAAUGGGAGGAAAUUCCUCCUAUGUGGUUAAAUGCUUUCAUUUAUUAUAAAUUCAUGCAUAUUCAUGUUUAGUAGCAUUUAUGAGAAUUUUUGAAUGCUUAGAACUCAUAUGUUAUGCAUCAAAAAAAUUUACUCCAUAUAGUAGAGAGAUAUAUAUGCUUUGUUAAUAUGCAUGCGGUGAACAUUCUGUGAGAUGAUAUGAAAUCAAAUUUCUUGCUUCGAAUAUGACUAGAAUUACAAGUUCUUGAACUUAGUAUCCAUGUUGGGACAUAAUGAGCCAUAGUGUCAUGAAGAGGCACUUGGACUAGAAAAUUGUUAAACUGCAAUAUAGAGACUUGAUGAUAGGCCAUUUUGACAUCGACUAUAUUCCAUAUUUUAGAUAUGAUGAAAUAGUGACUUAGCCACGAUGACAUUAGCUACUUUCCAUGUAAGAGACAUGACGAUAUAGUAGCAGGCCUUUGGGGACAUGAGCUAUAUUCCGGGUUUUAGAUCUGAUGAAAUAGUAAUGACCUAUUGGGACCUGGGACACGACGGUUGAGGCAGGCCUUUGGGACAUGUGCUGUAUUCCGGGUUUUAGAUCCGACGCAACAGUGAUGGACCACUGGGACUUGAGGCAGACUUAUUCGCUUGCAUGCCACUGUGCUCUUUCGCACAUACUUGUGAGGGUCGCUCCCCAUAAGUCGACACUCCGGAGAUAGCCAUCGCGACACAAGCUCGCUCGUGCAGGAUUGGGCGCCAAAAUGAGUUGCCGUGGGGGAGGCUCAUUCCUAGGCUAGGGAUGUCGACUACCACAGGGCCAUUGUUGGCACGACGCAGGCCGGACUACCUACGGGUAGCUUCCACAGGGUUGGGUUACUAGUGACCAAUUAUACCUUUGGACAUUGACUAGAAUAGUAAACGUUGACACUUUACUGUUUAGCUUGUGGAUAUUAUGUUGGACUUACUCUCUAAAAUUAUGUCAUAGUAACUUCAUUACUUAUGCCAAGGUAUGCUAAGUAGAAUACAUGAGAUGGUUGCUUAUUACUUGUGCAAUUUCAUGCAAAGUAGAGAUCAUGUGAUAGGUUAUUACUUGUGCAAUUUCAUGCAAAAUAGAGAUCAUGUGAUAGGUUAUUACUUGUGCAAUUUCAUGCAAAGUAGAGAUCAUGUGAUAGAUGUGAUAGGUUAUUACUUGUGCAAUUUCAUGCAAAGUAGAGAUCAUGUGAUGGGUUAUUGUUUACGCUAUUUACAUACUUAUUGUAAUUAUCGUGUAUCUACUUACCCUUUUCACGCUUGGGCCUAGUGGCGCAUUUCACUGAAGUCAGUAAUUGCCCACUGGGAACUAUUAUUUAAUAGUUCUCACGCCCCCUGUUUUAUGGUUUUAUUUCAGAGCCUUCAGCACCGGUGGAGGCACGGGAUCGCGGCAAGAGGAUCGCCUAGCUAGCUAGUGGAGCCAGUUUUGCUCCUAGGUGGUCAUUCUCUCUUUUGGUUUUUGGUGAGAGAGAGUUUGUUACCAUGUAUAGAGACCACCAUUGUACUCCUCUUUGUACUUGUAUUUUGGGUUUCCUUUGUAUUAAGCUAUGUUUUAUUUUAGUAGAUUUCUAGCACUCUUUUACUAUUCCUUGUUGUAGAACCUAGUUACUUUUGCUCUGAUAUCGCUAGAGUUCUUUGUGGCAUAGUUGUAUUUAUUAAAAUUUUGGUAGACGCCUUAUAUGUUUUAGACGUAUGGCGGGUCUGGACACGUGCCGGGUAGGCUUCCGCUGAGCCCUGGGGCGUGAUAGAGUAAUUGGCUGUGUUCCGAGCUUUUUCACGCUUUGUGGAGGGUCGUAGAAGGUGUUCCAACCUAAAAAGUUCGAAUCCUGGAAUUUCUGCUAAGUCCUGAGAGUUUUACUCUCGGGGACCGGUCUCUGCGGGGAGAGACCGGUCCCUGGCGGAUGAGACCGGUCCUCGAGCGCAUUUUCGCGGGGAGAGACCGGUCCCAUGCGGGGAGAGAUCGGUUCUCGAGGGCAAGUUUUGCGGGAUGGACCUGAGAGACCGGUCCUAAGCAGGGAGAUACCGGUCCCUCUGGGCGAAAUUUGCCCAGUCCUGGCUUUGCAUAGGUUGCAAAGUUGAGGGACUUUUUUGAAUUUUGUUACACUAGAGGGCCUAUAUGGCCAUUUCACUACCCUUUCUCCCUCAUUUCACCCUCCCACUUGCUUUUAGAGAGAGAAGGAGAAGAAGAAGGAGCAGGAAGGAGAAGGAGAGCUUGUUUGAGGACUUGGAGCUUCACCCUCACCCUCUCUUCAUCCAUUUGGUGGUUUGGAGCUUGCUUUUGGAGCUUGGUGGUGGAUCAAUCUUCAAUACUAAAGGAUUUUGAGCUUGGUUUGGAGCUUCUUAGAGGUUAGUUGCUUGUUUCUCCCCUCUAUACCUAGUUUUGGUGGAUUUUGAGAGAUAAAAUCCUAGACUGGGAAACCUAGAGUUUAUUUGGAGCUUUUUGAUUAGAGACUUUUUGAGCUAAUCUAAUUAGAUUAGAAUCUUGAUUUAGGUUGCUUUGGAAGGGAUCUAGCUUCCAUUUGAGCUUUGGAAAGGGAUUUCUACACUAUAGGUGAGAUUUUGGUCCUUUUGCUUAGUAGGUUAAUGUUUGAGCUUGUAGUUGAUCGUAAGAUUCGUUUAACCUUUGUUCUUGUGCCUCUAGGGUACUAAUAGGCUAGCGGGCACAUUCGUCGGAGCUUACGAAGGGUUGCACAAGUUUCGGUGGGUUUGACCUAGCCUACAAUAUGAGAAAUGCUCAUAUUUGGUGAUUUAUGAUUCGUAAAGUGGAAAUUCAUGCAUUUUCAUACUAAAUGUAUUUAUUGUGAAUUUUAGAAUGCUUAACAUCCCUAUGUCAUGUAUAAUGAAUUUUCGGACCUCUAUGUAGUAGAGAGUUGCAUGUGAGGCUUAUACUAGCAUUUGGCAUUCUUAUGUUGGACUUGGGACCAUGUUUCUUACAAUAAAAAUGAGCAUUGUUUAGUACUCUUAAACCUAUGCAUUUUAGAGACAUGAGAGAUAGCUAAUGCCAUAAAGAGGCAUCGGACUAGACCGUUAUGGAAAAAUUUGGAGCUAAUGUCAUAAAGCGGCAUUGAGCUCGGGUUAUAUGUGAACUUAGUACUAGUGUCAUGAUUGGAAUAUAGAAUAUGAAAUGUGCUUAACUUAUAGCAAUGCUUAGCAAUUCGCGAAGGUCCAGUGUGUCACACCGUCCUUCGGGGCCACUAUCCCCGUGGUGACCUACUCCGGAGCGCACCGCUUGAGGGGGAGCUACCGCCCUCAAGCCAAGACUUAUCGUGAGUAUUGAUCCGAUUCCCAACUUGGGAACGUAUAGCCACUAGUCAUAAUGCCACUAUCAUAAUCGAUUUUCUACCUAUUUAUUCAUGCCACUUAUGGUUAAACUAUGUUUAACAAUCACUAUCUCAAUGCCAAUCUUGUCUCUAUAGUCAAUGUCACCCUUGUUUACAAAGAUCAAGGUCCAAGUCUCCUAUUCAUACAUCUCUAGGGUUCUAGCAUACAUGUCCAUUAUGGUUCUAUCAUUCUUUAUGUCCAACUACAUUAUAAGCACAUAAAUAAAGUUACACCAAAGUUCACAUGUAAGCAACCAUAAUAUGCAUGAACGACUAUAUACAAUAUGCUCAAAUGAAAAGUGACAUAGAUAUAGAAGGGAAUCCAACGAUUUCAGAAUGCACCCCCGACCACGCGUGGUCGUGUAGGUGUAGAAUGUGACGACUCCCGAACUUUAUGAAAGCCGAUUUCGCACCCUAUAACCAAAAUAGUGCUAUAUUAGGCCUUUUGUACAUGAACUAUACUCAAACAUUUUCGUAACUUCUAACGGAGUUGUCCAACGCGUUUGUUUGACCCCCAAUUAGAUUUCUACGAGGUCAAUUCGCCCUCGAAAAAUUUUAGGGCAAAAGUCCCAAAUUUGAGCCCUAACAAUGCCUUCUAGGGUUUCCUCUUAGAUUGACCUUGUUGCUAAGCAAAAGGUAGCUUAGAAUCAUCUAGGAAAUAUUCUAAUAAAGUUUCUAAGCUUUUAGAACAAUCCCUAGGGUAUCUACCAUGAGCCAUAGUGAUCCACCAUGAGAGCUCCCCAAGAAAACCAUGGAUUUCAUGGUUUCAGGUCAAUAGAGGGUUUCUAGGUUAAUUAGAGGAUCAAAACUCUAAAUCCCAAGGUUUAAAACCAAACCCUAGAGUUUUACAUACUAGAAAACUCACCUUAGCCCAAGUUCCACCAAGCUCCUCCUUGUUGGAGAGCUCCUAGACCCACUAAACCCACCAAAAAUUCACUUCCCAAGCUUCUCCUUCUUCUUCUCCAAGCUCUAGGGCUAGAUUUCUAGAGAGAGAAAGAGAGGAAAAUGAGAGAGAGAGGUGAAGAUGGCUGUGGGAGUGAAGGGCUAGGGCAUAUAUCAUGUUGUAACAUUUGCAACUAGGCCCUCCCAACUUCAAAAUUCUGUGUCAGCCCUUACUGGGCAAUUUUCGCAGUCGGGGACCAGUCUCCGCGACCAGGGACCGGUUCCCGAACGUUUGAUUUCAAGGACUUAGCCGAUUUUUGGGUUUUCUGGCUGGUUGCACAGCGAGGGGCCGGUCUGUCCUUCAGGGACCAGUUCCUCAUGGACCGGUCUCACUGCCAGGGACCGGUUGCCUCAAGGUUCCUGGCAGGCUACCCGUAUGGGGACCGGUCUCUCCUUCAGGGACCGGUCCCCGAGAGCACAAAAUCUGGGACUUAGCCAGAUUUUGGAAUUUCACUCUCUCGGGUCCCUAUAUAACACAUAUAUAGGCUCUAAUGCACUUAGGGCCUAUACAUACUCGUCCCACUCCGCGUUCCUGUAGUAUACUGAACUUUAGCAAAUUGCGAAGUUCGAGUAUGGGGAUGACAUUUAGAAUUACCCUACAUGUUCUAAAAGGUUUAGAGAUGUUUGUGGACGAGUUGGAGAGUCAUCGAACCCUCGGAAGUGAGAAAGUGCUUUGAAAUUGCGAAUUGUGCAUUUUUGCAUUGGUGUACCGGUACAACCCUCAGGCUGUACCGAUACAGAAAGCAGCAGAGGCAGCAGGUGCGUGGCAGUUUGGCUAUUUUGGUCUUUUUGCUGCUUGACCUUAUCUCUACAGGCCAGCUCGACCUCCAGCAGCUGGUUAGGGAUAUUUGAGCUUAGAGAUAAGGAUUUACACCUAUUUUUCACUUUCUCUCUCUAAAUUCUUCUAUUGAAGUGAUAAACUAGUACCUUAGACCUAGUUUCAUUUUCCCUUUUGAUGUUAGCAAGCUGGGAGGGCUUUGGACCUGUGGUAGAGGGAAGGAAAAGGUGUUCUGGAGAAUGCUUUGCAGCCUGAGCACAACCGUGACUGGUUUGAUACAUCAGAAAGGUGAGCUAAUUAACUCUUCAUUGGAUUAAGGCUCUAAGAGGAAAGUUGAGCUUGAUUGUGGAACUUUUUGUUCUCAGCUGGUUGAGGAAGGAAAUUGGUAGUUGUAGCAGGGUAUUUAUGAUACCCUUAAUCAGUUGGAGCUAAGCUAUUAACCUUAGAAGGUAAUUAUCCAAUUCCUUUCUUGUUUGGACAAGUUAGUAGGGUUACUAAUGCAGUUUUGGAAGCUGUUUAGCAGCAGAGUUGCCGCAGGAACCUUAACUCCUGCACUUGAAUUUUGAGGGUUCUUGUAAUACACUGACUCUAGCAAAUUGCGGAGUCCGAGUGUGUGGAAUGAGUUGUGGAACUAUCCUACAUGUUCUAAAUGACUUGGACAAGUUUUUGAACAAGUUUGAGAGUGAUUGGAGGGUUAAAUGUGAGAAAUUGCAUCAACUGGCGAAAAUCAGCCUUUUUCUGCUUGCUGUACCGGUACAGCCAUCACCUUGUACCGGUACANAUGGCAGAGUUUGCUUAUAACAGCAGUUAUCAAGCAAGCAUCAAGAUUGCACCGUUCGAGGCACUCUAUGGACGCAAGUGUUGAUCGCCACUUCAUUGGAGUGAAGUUGGCGAGAGAUUGGCUUUAGGUCCUGAUGUGCUCCAUGAAGCUGAGGACAAGGUUCGCAUCGCUCGGGAGCGGUUAUUGACGGCCCAGAGUAGGCAGAGGAGUUAUGCUGACAGGCGGCGACGAGACUUGGAGUUUCAGGUUGGAGAUCACGUCUUCUUGAAAGUCUCGCUGACUCGAGGAAUUAGACGAUUUGGAAUCCGGGGCAAGUUGAGCCGCCGAUUCAUUGGACCGUUUGAGGUUUUGGAGCGGAUAGGCCCGGUAGCGUAUAGACUUACCCUACCGCCGAACCUAUCGGGUGUGCACAAUGUAUUCCAUGUAUCGGUCCUUCGGAAGUACAUCCACGACCCGGCUAAUGUAUUGGAUGCUACACCUAUGGAGCUGCAGGAGGAUUUGAGCUUUGAGGAGCAACCCUUGAGAAUUUUGGCUCGCGAGGUGAAAAGAUUGCGGAACCGGAAAAUUCCCUACGUGAAGGUGCUUUGGAGCAACCACGACGAGCGCGAGGCCACUUGGGAGUUAGAGAGCGCACUGCGGGAGCGCUAUCCCCAUCUUUUUCAGAUGGAGGCUUGAGGUACUUUGUUUGUUUUGAGUUUCGCGGACGAAACUCCUUUUUAGGAGGGGUGAAUGUAACACACUGGACCUUUGCAAAUUGCGAGGUUCAAGUGUUUGGCUGUGUUCUGAGUUUUUCCAAACUUUCUGGUGGGUCGUUGACUAUGUUCCGACCUAUGGCACGUGUCCUGAGACUUGUGGUACAAAGCCUUGCACCAAAACCCGAAAAAACGGAAUUUAGCUGACUCUCGGAUUGAGUUCUGGCAAGCUUGUACCGGUACAAGGCUGUGCUUGUACCGGUACAAGGUUGAUGGUUGUAUCGGUACAGCCAUCGGAGCUUGUACCGAUACAGAGCCGCAGAACCCAGCAACCCGAGCCUCGGGUUUGGAUUUCGUGGACCUUGUACCGGUACAAGGGCCCGUGUACCGGUACAAGGCGGCAGAUUUUGUGCAGUUCGAAACUGCAAGGGCUUUUUCGCGAUUGUAGCCUCUCUAUAACAGCACCCUCGCCCCUUAAGGCUUUUCUUGUGCUGGAACCACAGGGAAACAAGGUAAGGAGCCCAUCCAUUCCCUCAUUUUGAUUUUCCUUGGUUAUAUUGGAGAUUUUUGAGGAUUAAUGCCUCAUUUUGCUUCUUGUUGCAUUUUGGAGGCUUUUUCCCACCAUUGGAGAGGACUUGGAGCUUUGUUGGAGGCUUGUUGGAGGAAAGAUCUUCCACCCUAUUUGAUUUGGAGCCCAAGUUGAGACUUCUAGAGAGGUUAACAACAUGAUUUGAGCUUUUGAUCCAUGUUUUGCUAAGUUUUUGAGAUGAAAUCCUAGAUUUGAUACUUAGGGCUUAUUUUGGGUAUUUUGAUUCUAGGGCUUUUGGGGCUAAAUUAGUUGGUUUAGAACCUUCCUUGGGCUUGGAUUGGAAGGGCUUUAGCUCUCUUUUGGAGCUUAGGAGAGGAUUUCUACUCUUGAGGUGAGUUUUGGCCCUUUUUGCUUCUAGGUUAAUGUUUGAUAUUUUAAGAUGAUCGUAAUGCCCGUGUAUCUUGUCGCUCAAUACUUUUAGGGUAUUUUGAGACUCGGGGACAACUUUGUUCGGCGAAACGAGGCCCUACGCGACGGUUCCGUAGGUUUGACCUAGGCUACCUAUGAGAAAUCCUCAUAUAUGGUUAUAAAUGUUCCGUAAAUUGGAAAAGCAUGCAUAUUCAUCCUAAUUGUAUUUAUUAUGAUUUUUAGAAUGCUUAAAAUGCAUAUGUUAUAUAUGAUGAAAUUUUGGACUUCUAUGUAGUAGAGAGUUGCUUGGGAGAUCUUUGGUUGCAUUUAGCAUUCGUUAUGAGACUUGGUUUCAUGCUUCUAUAGUAUAAAUGAGUUCGGAUUCAUGCGUUCAAACUUGAGUUUACUUGUGACAUGAAAGAUGACAAGAUUGCUAAUUAGAAGGUAUGUGAACUAGAGAGCUAAUGUCAUCAAGCGGCAUUGAGCUCGGGACAUGUGAGAACCUAGUGGAUAGGGCCAUCGAGGAACAUGCUUAAACAUUAAAUGUCUAAGUGUCAUAAAGGGGCACUAGACCUAGAGAAUGUUGGAACUUCAUUUGUGACUUAGAACUAGAUCUUCGAGAUGCUAGUGACUAUACCAUGUUAGAGACAUGAGGGUUGGAUACUUGAGNNNNNNNNNNNNNNNNNNNNNNNNNNNNNNNNNNNNNNNNNNNNNNNNNNNNNNNNNNNNNNNNNNNNNNNNNNNNNNNNNNNNNNNNNNNNNNNNNNNNNNNNNNNNNNNNNNNNNNNNNNNNNNNNNNNNNNNNNNNNNNNNNNNNNNNNNNNNNNNNNNNNNNNNNNNNNNNNNNNNNNNNNNNNNNNNNNNNNNNNNNNNNNNNNNNNNNNNNNNNNNNNNNNNNNNNNNNNNNNNNNNNNNNNNNNNNNNNNNNNNNNNNNNNNNNNNNNNNNNNNNNNNNNNNNNNNNNNNNNNNNNNNNNNNNNNNNNNNNNNNNNNNNNNNNNNNNNNNNNNNNNNNNNNNNNNNNNNNNNNNNNNNNNNNNNNNNNNNNNNNNNNNNNNNNNNNNNNNNNNNNNNNNNNNNNNNNNNNNNNNNNNNNNNNNNNNNNNNNNNNNNNNNNNNNNNNNNNNNNNNNNNNNNNNNNNNNNNNNNNNNNNNNNNNNNNNNNNNNNNNNNNNNNNNNNNNNNNNNNNNNNNNNNNNNNNNNNNNNNNNNNNNNNNNNNNNNNNNNNNNNNNNNNNNNNNNNNNNNNNNNNNNNNNNNNNNNNNNNNNNNNNNNNNNNNNNNNNNNNNNNNNNNNNNNNNNNNNNNNNNNNNNNNNNNNNNNNNNNNNNNNNNNNNNNNNNNNNNNNNNNNNNNNNNNNNNNNNNNNNNNNNNNNNNNNNNNNNNNNNNNNNNNNNNNNNNNNNNNNNNNNNNNNNNNNNNNNNNNNNNNNNNNNNNNNNNNNNNNNNNNNNNNNNNNNNNNNNNNNNNNNNNNNNNNNNNNNNNNNNNNNNNNNNNNNNNNNNNNNNNNNNNNNNNNNNNNNNNNNNNNNNNNNNNNNNNNNNNNNNNNNNNNNNNNNNNNNNNNNNNNNNNNNNNNNNNNNNNNNNNNNNNNNNNNNNNNNNNNNNNNNNNNNNNNNNNNNNNNNNNNNNNNNNNNNNNNNNNNNNNNNNNNNNNNNNNNNNNNNNNNNNNNNNNNNNNNNNNNNNNNNNNNNNNNNNNNNNNNNNNNNNNNNNNNNNNNNNNNNNNNNNNNNNNNNNNNNNNNNNNNNNNNNNNNNNNNNNNNNNNNNNNNNNNNNNNNNNNNNNNNNNNNNNNNNNNNNNNNNNNNNNNNNNNNNNNNNNNNNNNNNNNNNNNNNNNNNNNNNNNNNNNNNNNNNNNNNNNNNNNNNNNNNNNNNNNNNNNNNNNNNNNNNNNNNNNNNNNNNNNNNNNNNNNNNNNNNNNNNNNNNNNNNNNNNNNNNNNNNNNNNNNNNNNNNNNNNNNNNNNNNNNNNNNNNNNNNNNNNNNNNNNNNNNNNNNNNNNNNNNNNNNNNNNNNNNNNNNNNNNNNNNNNNNNNNNNNNNNNNNNNNNNNNNNNNNNNNNNNNNNNNNNNNNNNNNNNNNNNNNNNNNNNNNNNNNNNNNNNNNNNNNNNNNNNNNNNNNNNNNNNNNNNNNNNNNNNNNNNNNNNNNNNNNNNNNNNNNNNNNNNNNNNNNNNNNNNNNNNNNNNNNNNNNNNNNNNNNNNNNNNNNNNNNNNNNNNNNNNNNNNNNNNNNNNNNNNNNNNNNNNNNNNNNNNNNNNNNNNNNNNNNNNNNNNNNNNNNNNNNNNNNNNNNNNNNNNNNNNNNNNNNNNNNNNNNNNNNNNNNNNNNNNNNNNNNNNNNNNNNNNNNNNNNNNNNNNNNNNNNNNNNGCACCGGCGGAGGCACGGGAUCGCGGCAAGGGGAUCGCUUAGCUAGCUAGCGAGGAGCGGUUCUUUGCCUAGGUGGUUUGCUCUUUCUUUUUGUAGUUGGGAGAGUAAGAGAUUUCUGUAUACAUGUAUAGAGACCACCUAUAUACCUACUUUUAGCACUUGCAAUUGGGAUUUCCUAUUGUAUUUACUUUAUGCCUUAUUUAGUGGAUUUACAGUUUAUCCUUAUCCUUGGUUGUAGCAUUUAGACAUUUAUUAUGCUCUGAUACUUCUAGAUGUCUUUUAUUAUUGCUUUCAUUAUUGUUGUUUUAGACGCCUUAUACGUUUUAGACGUAUGGCGGGUCUGGGCACGUGUCGGGCAGGCUUCCGCUGGGUCCCGGGGCGUGACAGUCGCAUUGCGCGCAGCAGCUCUGGCUGCGCUGGGAGAGCUCUCGGAGACUGGUCCCUAGUCGGGGAGACCGGUCCCCGAGCCCGAAAUCUGCCCAGUCCAGGCAGUUGAAUAAGAUGAAAGUUGAGGGGUUUAUUUGCAUUUUGGCAACCCAAUAGUUAUGUAUUGGGGCCUAAUGAGAUUUUCUCUCAUUUUUACCCUCUCAUCCCCUCUCAUCUCUCUUUCUCUCUCUAGAAGGCAAAGAAGGAGAAGAAGAAGAGAAGGAAAAGAAGGAAAAGAAGAGGAAGAAAAUAGAGAAGAAGAAUAGGAAGUGAAGAAACUCCCUCUCCCUCAUCUCUAGCUUGGAAAGAGAAAGCUUACAAGGUAAGCUUUGAACCCUAAUCAUGCUAAAACCCUAAACUGGGGGCUAUGUGACCUAGAAAUGGUUUUUAUAGAGCAUUUUGAGUUUUUGAAACUUUUCUUUUGCUUCUUUAGAGGUCAAAACCAUGAAAUGGGGGUAAUGGGUAAAGCUUGAAGGUGAGCUUGACCCCUCUCAUGGUAGAAUCCAAACUAUGGUUUGGAUUGAAUUAAAGAUGGUUUAGAUGGACUAUUUAGAGUAUAAUGAAGCUACUUUUGCUUCCCAAUGAGAUCAAACCCUAGGUUUGAUGUAUGCUAUGGAGCUAGAGCACCCAAAUUGGAGCUUUUGCUCAUGAGGGUUCCUAAGUGAAAUUGACCCUCUAAAAACCUAAUUGGGGGUAUUUCCGACUUGUUGAUGCGCUCGGAAUAGCAUUACGAAAAGUGUAUGUAAAGUUAUGGCCAAAUAAGCCUAAUUUGGCUUCGUUAUACCGCAGGUAGUGAACCGGGUAUCUAAAAAUCCCAAGAAAAUCGUCGGAGCACCUUUGGAAGCCUACGAGGUGGGUGGUGCUUCUCAAACUCCUUGAACUUCUCUCUAUGCCUAAUGUGUCAUUCAUUUGAGCAUAUGUAUAUACAUNUUCGAGACAGAUAUUGUACUACUUAUGACUCCUUUUAUUGUCUAGCUUUACUUCUUUACUUUGGUGUAGAUGUUAGAACUAUACUCGCUCUGAUAUCAUUAGUUGCUAGUUAUUUCACUUCUGCUAUUUGUCCUACUACUUGCUUUUACUUCCGCUUUUAGUAUAGACGCCUUAUAUGUGUAGACAUAUGGCGGGUCUGGGCACGCUACCAGGAGGGCCUCCGCCGGUCCCGGGGCGUGACACCGGGUAUGCUUCCACCGAUACCCGGGCGUGACAGAUUAUAGUGGUAUCAGAGCCUAGAGUUAAGUCUUAUUGGACCUAGCGAACCUUAGGCUGGUUGGACUAUAAGAAUAGGCUCGUGAGAGACGAGGUCUAGUUUAGUUUUUAGCGAAAGUACUUUGAUUGGGUAAUUUAUAAACUCCGAAUGGUAGGAGUUGAUUGAAAUAUGCAAUUUCUAACUUUGCGGAGAGCCACGUUGGCGGCCGACAAUGUGACAUCGGAAGUUAGUAUGUUUUACAUUUCAUUACUUUCGCUUGAUUGGGUGGUUAAUAUAAUGAGUAGGGGUUCAAUAGUGUAAGUUCUAUUAAUUUAUGUUUAUUUUUGCUGCAGCUUAAGAUGCCUACUACUCGUUCUAUGGCUACUGGAGCAGCCAAGGCAGCUGAUGCAGAGGAAGUGGAGACCUCCGUUACUUCCGGAUCUAGUGAGGUCCGUGAGUUGCAGGAUCAGCUUGCAGUAUUGACGGAUCUAGUGACACAGCAGGCUGCAGCAGCUCGACAACAGAUGGAUGCCGCGCGCCGACAGGAGGAAAGAAUGAAGAGGUUAGAGGAUUUGCUACUGCGACAGACAACUGAUAGAGAGGGCCCGAGUUCGGUGCCAACAGUACCUGAGAGGGACACGAUUGCGAGGGUACAGUCACCAGCACCAGAUACUUCACCGGCAGCCCCGCGCGCUGAGCACCAACCGGGGACCGUAGUACCACCCCUAGUGCCUGUGGCUGCGACAGGGACAGUGUUACCAGAGAUGGUAGGGGCUGAGGAGUAAGAGCAGAUGAUGGAGCGAUUGAAUGAAUUUCGCCGUUGCAAUCCUCGUGUAUUCGACGGCGAAAAAGGUGAUCAUUGGGUAGUUGAGAAGUGGCUAAUGCACAUGGAAAAGUUAUUUUACGAUACCUUUGUAGAGGAGCGAGACCGAGUCUGGUUUGCGACACACCAUAUGGAUGGCGAGGCCUAUAGGUGGUGGUUAGACAUUCGUGAGGAUCCCUGUACUGAUCUAUCUGCGAUCACUUGAAGAGAUUUAAGGAAUUAUUGUUGACAACCUACUUCCCGCAAAGUGUAAAGAGACAAAUGGAGAGGGAUCUGAGAAAUUUGAGGCAGGAGGAUAGGACAGUGGUUGAGUAUGAGCGAGAGUUUUCUCGACUACUAUAUUGUGUUCCUUUCGUGGUCAAGGAUGACGAGGAUAAGGCCCGUAUCUUUGAGGUGGGUUUGCGACCUGCGAUUUUCAGGUUGGUCCAGGCGUCAAACCUAUCGACUUACAAGGAGGUAGUAAAUCGGGCACUGAUUGUUGAGAAGGGGGCAGAGAUUGUGAAGGAAAGGAAAAUUGUGGAUCGAAAUAAAGGAAAGAGGCCAGGGGUGGAGAGUCGUGGUCAGCAAUCGUUCAGGGGACCGCCAAAGUAUCCGAGAGGCCAGCCAAGUCAGUCGAGGGGACGAGGUUCUUUUGCACCCCGUAGAGCACCUAAGCGUCAUCGACAGUCGCGUUGUGUGAUUUGUAGUGGUCCUCAUUUUCCACCGCAAUGCCCACAACAUGGGGGCAAGUGCUUUCUUUGUGGUCAGGAGGGCCACUUUCGGUCUGAGUGCCCGAGGGCUUCGUCACACGCACCAUCGUCAGCAUCAGCACCUGCAUCUUCAGCUCCGAGUCAGGGGACUCCGUCAGCACAGUACCAAUCGAGACGACCACCCGAACAGCGGCAGUCAGAGAGUUCUCGACAGGGUUCAAGUGGGCAUAUGUAUGCCGCCCAGACUGAGGAGGCCGCGGCAGCAGAAGAGGUUGUAGCAAGUGUUAUUUUGAUUCGUGAUGUUCAUGUUCGUGCAUUAUUCGAUACUGGCGCAUCGCAUUCUUUUAUCGAUCGGCUAUUUGCCGAGUUGCAUAGCAUUUAGUUAGUACCUACUUUGCAUCCGAGACGAGUAAUCAUGCCCGACCAUACCCUGGAUAUUCAUGAGUAUUGCCCUCGCUGCCCAGUUCGGGUAGGUGAUUGGAUUAUGCCAGUGAACUUAUUAGCACUACACAAACUAGGUGAGUUUGAUGUAGUUUUAGGUAUGGACUGGUUGACACAAUACUAUGCUAUUAUAGAUUGCACAAAUCGAACGUUGACCUUUAAGGAACCAUGUCAGCAGGAAGUGGUGUACAGGGGAUGCCAGAGUUCAUUGUUCGCAAUGACAAUUAGUUCUUCGCGAGCACGACAAUUGAUACGGAGGGGUUGCGUGGCCUAUUUGGCUAAUAUCUCUGUCAGUAACGGAGGAGUUACUAGUAUUGAUGAUAUCUCGGUAGUACGGGAAUUUCGUGAUGUGUUUCCAGCUGAAUUACCUGGAAUGCCGCCUAAUAGGGAAGUUGAGUUUGUGAUAGAUCUUGUUCCUGGGACUGCCCCAAUCUCAAAAGCACCCUAUAGGAUGGCACCUGUUGAGUUGAAAGAGCUGAAGGCACAGUUACAGGAUCUUUUGGAUAAAGGUUUUAUUCGACUGAGUGUAUCACCCUGGGGAGCACCGGUGUUAUUCGUUAAGAAGAAAGAUGGAUCCUUUCAAUUGUGCAUGGAUUAUCGGGAAAUUAACAAAGUCACAACCAAGAAUAAGUAUCUACUACCACGAAUUGACGAUUUAUUUGACCAGCUCCAAGGAUCGCAAGUGUACUCCAAGAUUGAUUUACAAUUUGGAUAUCAUCAGUUGAAGAUCAAGCCCAAAGAUGUAUCUAAGACUGCUUUCAGAACAUGGUAUGGUCAUUAUGAAUUCACAGUUAUGCCAUUUGGAUUGACUAAUGCCCCGGCAGCUUUUAUGAAUUUAAUGAAAUGUGUUUUAAGCCCUAUUUGGACAAGUUUGUGGUCGUAUUCAUCGACGAUAUCUUGAUCUAUUCCCAAAGUGACGAGGAGCAUGAAAACCAUUUAAGACUGGUGUUGCAAAUACUUCGAGAAAAGAAACUAUUUGCAAUGUUAACAAAAAAAAAAAGCAAAUUUUGGCUUCGAGAAGUAGCAUUUCUGGGACAUGUAAUUUCAGAAGUCGGGAUAGCUGUGGAUCCAAAGAAGAUUGAAGCAAUUAAGAAUUGGCCUAGGCCGACCAGCAUUACAGAGAUUCGGAGUUACCUUGGUUUGACAGGAUACUACCGAAAGUUUGUAGAAGGAUUUGCGAAGAUGUCAACUCGUCUCACUCGACUCACACAUAAAGGGGCGAAGUUUAUAUGGAAUGAGGUCUGUGAAAUUCGACCUCUUAGAAAUGUUAAUGUGAUAGAAUUACGUAGGAUUUGAAGUGGAGUGCUCCUAGCUAAUCAUGUAUUGAUUACUAGGGCUUUCGGAGAAUUGUGAAGAUCCAUACCCAUAGGUCGAACGUGAAUCGUCGGUUAAUAGGUGGGUUUGACCUCACCAGAGUAAGUGAAUUCCCCUAUGUUCUAUAUGUUACUAUAGGACUAUUAAUUAUAUGCAAUUGAAUUACUUUGGCGGUUUUAUUUGAAGGCAUUGACAAUCAACUCAACUUAAUAUUUAACAGUGAGUGAUUUUGUUAUGUUUUAAUAAAGUAGAGAACAAAUUAUUCGAUUGUGACCUGACCAGUGUUGUAUUAUUAAAAGACAAGUUUACCUUGCGAAUAACACAUGUAAAUUAGCAUCUUUAUUAUGUGGUUAUUGAUCUAGUGGAUACUAGCAUUUCUUAUUGUACAGAGAAUCCGACCUAUUGGCCGAGAGUAAAAAACUUACAUACUUGAUAUAUGAUGAUUGAAGCGGUUGGACUAUGAUUUAUGCUUGCUUGCCAUUGUGCUCAUUCGCACAAGCUUGUGAGGGUCGCGCCUUACAAGCCAACACUCCGGAGUUGGCCUACGCGACAGACUGCUUGCCCAUGCGGGAUUGGGUGCCGAAGUCGAUUGCCGUGGGGAGUGCAUACUACCACGGGGCCAUUAGGCGCGGCGCAAGCUGGACUACCUGGUGUAGGUCCUUAUGAAUUGAACCAAGUUACUAAAAGAUAGUAAUAAAUAAUUACUAUUAUACAGUGUACAGCUACCUUUAAUACGACAUGUUCAAGCUUUAAGUAAUUACUUUACUUGUUUCUACUUGUUUGACAUAGUUGAUAGCAUCAUACAUGUUCAUCGUUAUUUGUUGUUGAAUUAUCUCGCACACAAUAAAUGUUUUUACAUUUAUAAUAGUACAUCAUGAGCCUAGUGGUGUAACUCGCCAAGGCUGGCGGCUUACCCACUGGGAACUAUUGUUUAAUAGUUCUCACGCCCUUUUUAUUAUUGUUUUUACAGAGCCACCUACUACAGGAGAGGCUAGGGAUCGUGGCAAGGGAGUCGCGUCUAGCUAGAUAUAGCUUGGAGCUUGACUAGAUGAUCAUCUUGCUACUCGGGCUACGACCGAGGGUUAUGUACCCGUGUACAGAAAAACUACCAUUGUACAUAUAUUUUGAGUGACCUUGUGAUGUAUUUACGGUUUGUACCUGGGAUGACAGUUUUGGUGUUUCUCUGUGGAAUAGAAGAAUUCGGGACUGUACAGACUUGCACUUUCUUCUGAUAGUGGUAUUAUUGAUUUGUACUUUGCUCUGAUCAUCUUCACUUGUUUAAUAUGAUUUUAUAAACGUCUUAUAUACUACAGGUAUAUGACGGGUCUAUACAUGUACCAGGUAUGCUUCCGCUGAUACCCGGACGUGACAGUUCCGCUCAUUCCGACGGAACUCGGCACGAUUUACGCGGAAUGUGGUAUGUUACAUUCUCCACCCCCUAAAUUUAGUUUCGUCCGCGAAACUACUUAUCUACUAAUCGAGAUUCACCUCAACGCAGUUCCUCGAAGAGAUCAGGGUAACGCUCCUUCAUCACGUCCUCAAGCUCCCAAGUCUCUUCUCGGUCGCCGUGCUCGCACCAAUGAAUUUUAACAUACGGGAUUUCGCGGUUCCGUAGUUUCCUCACUUCUCGAUCGACGAUAUAAGCCAGGGACUCCUCAUAAGUCAUGUCCUCUUGAAGCUCCAUCGGUACAUAUGCGAGAACAUGCUCGGGGUCGUAAACAUACUUGCGGAGUUGAGAUACAUAGAAUACAUCGUGCACUCCCGCAAGCCUCGGUGGUAAUGCUAACUUAUAAGCCAUCGCGCCAAUCCGUUCUAGAAUCUCAAAGGAUCCGAUAUAGCGGGGACUUAGCUUCCCUCGAACACAGAAUCGCUUGACUCCUCGCAUAGGCGUCACCUUUAGAAAUACGCGGUCUCCAACAGUGAACUCGAUAUCUUUCCUUCGCUUGUUGGCAUAACUUUUGUGCCUCGAUUGCGCCGUUGCUAACCUUUGUCGGGCAAGGCGAACUUUCUCCUCCGCCUCACGCACAACAUCUGGGCCAAGAACAGUCCUCUCGCCCACAUUGCUCCAAUGAAUCAGCGAGCGACACUUUCUUCCAUAGAGGGCCUCGAAUGACGCCAUCGCAAUACUUUCUUGAUAGCUAUUGUUGUAUGCGAAUUCCGCCAUUGGUGAAUGAUCGUGCUAUUCGCCCUUAUAGUCAAGUACACACGCCCGAAGCAUAUCCUCAAGUAUUUGAAUAGUUCUCUCUGAUUGACAGUCACUUUGAGGAUGAAAUGCCGUGCUAAAGUCGAGCCGUGUGCCUAACACGUCUUGCAAGCUCCUUCAAAAAUGAGAUGUAAACCGCGGAUCCCGAUCCGACACAAUGGAUACCAGUACCCCGUGUAAUCUCACCACCUCGUCAAUAUAAACUUGAGCGAGCUUGUCUCCCGUCCAGGUAGUGUGGAUCGGCAAAAAGUGUACCGAUUUUGUCAACCGGUCCACAACUACCCAAAUCGCGUCAUGUCCACCUUGUGAUCUAGGCAAACCUGUCACAAAGUCCAUUGCGAUGUUUUUCCACUUCCACAAGAGUAUAGGUAGACUUUGCAACUUCCCCGCCGGAAAUCGACAUUCUGCCUUAACUAGUUGGCACGUGAGACAUUGCGCCACAAACUCUCCUAUAUCUUUCUUCAUGCCCGGCUAUCAAUAAUGUAGCUUCAAAUCUCGAUACAUUUUAGUGCCGCCCGGGUGAAUACUAUAAGGAGAUUGAUGAGCUUCUUGCAUAACCACCCUUCUAAGUUCGUCGUUCUUGGGCACACACCAACGGUUUCGAAAUAGUAGUGUGCCAUCGGUUCCAAUGCUAAACUCAUUAGUAUUACCAUUCUCAACUUUGCUCCACACUUUUUGGAGAAAUUCAUCAGACGCUUGCAAUUCUUUAAUCUUCUCCAAUAAGGUUGGUUGCACUAUCAAUGUGGCUAACGUUGCCGGCACACCCGGCGCCACAACCUCAAGACCAAACCGAUGCAUUUCUUUUUGCAAAGCCGAUUGAGGUGUAUCGGCCGUCGCCAAAUUUUUCGCCGACUUUCUACUUAAAGCAUCGGCUACGACAUUUGCCUUCCCGGGGUGGUCUAGGAUAGUGACGUCAUAGUCUUUAAGCAACUCCAACCAUCGCCGCUGUCGCAAAUUCAGUUCCUUCUGGGUGAACAGGUAUUUGAGACUCUUAUGAUCGGUGUAGAUCUCGCAAUGCUCACCAUACAAGUAAUGCCUCCACAAUUUUAGCGCGAAGACAACCGCCGCUAGCUCAAGAUCGUGGGUCGGGUAGUUCUUUUCAUAUGUCUUCAACUAGCGUGAAGCAUAUGCUAUAACUCGGCCCUUUUGCAUCAAGACACACACGAGACCAAUGUACGAAGCAUCACUAUAUACGACAUAACUCUCCCCCAGUGUCGGCAAGGCAAGCACCAGAGUAGAUGUCAACCUAUUCUUUAGCUCCUCAAAGCUUAGCUCACACUCGGGGCUCCAAACAUACUUCACCCCUUUGUGCGUAAGGCGUGUUAGUGGAGUUGUUAUCCUAGCAAACCCUUCCACGAACCGCCGGUAGUAGCCCGCAAGUCCAAGGAAGCUAUGAAUUUCCACCACACUUGUCGGGCGAGGCCAAUCUUUAAUCGCCUCAACUUUCUUUGGGUCCACCGAGAUGCCUUCACUGGAUAUAACGUGACCCAAGAAGGUAAUCUCCGAAAGCCAAAACUCACACUUCUUGAGUUUUGCAUACAGCUUUUCCUUCCGGAGUAUAUCCAACACAAGCCUUAAAUGCUCAUCGUGUUCUUCCUUCGUCCGAGAAUAUACCAAUACGUCGUCAAUGAAAACCACGACGUACCAGUCCAAUAGCGGACGGAAGACUCGAUUCAUCAAGUCCAUAAAGGCUGCCGGGGCAUUGGUAAGCCCAAACGACAUCACCAUGAACUCAUAGUGGCCAUAUCGCGUACGGUACGCUGUUUUGUGCACAUCCUUGGGCCGUAUCUUCAAUUGAUGAUACCCCGACUGAAGAUCAUUCUUAGAAUAUACCCUUGACCCUUGCAACUGAUCGAAUAGAUCGUCAAUCCUUGACAAUGGGUAUUUAUUCUUAAUCGUCACCUUGUUCAACUCACGAUAAUCAACGCAAAGUCAAAGAGUGCCGUCUUUCUUCUUCACAAAUAGCACCGGAGCUCCCCACGGAGACACACUCGGCCGCACGAAGCCUUUAUCGAGCAAGUCUUAUAACUGGGCUUUUAGCUCCUUUAACUCUACCGAUGCCAUUCUAUACGGAGCCUUCGAAACCGGCGCCGCCCCAGGAAUCAAGUCAAUGACAAAUUCGACUUCCCGGUCCGGUGGCAAUCCCGGUAACUCCACCGGAAAUACAUCCGGAUACUCGCAUACCACCCGAGUACUUUCCAACUCCGGGUGCUCCUUUUGAGGGUCCACGAUAGUCGCCAAGUAGGCCUUGCAACCACCCUUAAUCAUUUUCUUUGCCCUCACCAAUGAUAUGGUCGCCGCAAAAUGCGCACCAUUACACGCCUUAUAAACCAUCUCCUCUUGGUUAGGCUCACGGAAAGUGAUCACCUUCCUUUUGCAAUUGAUAACCGCGUAAUACUUGGAGAGCCAGUUGGUAACCAAGAUUACGUCAAACCCCACAGAUGCUUCAACACUAAUAGGUUGAUCGACAUGACCCAAUCGCCUAUCUGCACUGGGCAGUCCAAAUACUCGUCAUGCACAUGAAACGUAAGUCCAGGUGCUGUCACCGUCCAAUAAUCCUCAUAAUGCGUGACCUCUAUGUCAUGAGCUAGUGCAAAUGAUGCUGUUAUGAAUGAUUGAGNCUCCAACCCUAGCUUGAGGAGCUUAAUGAUUGAGCUAUUUGCUCUUCGUUUCGUUUGGGUGACCCUAUUUUUGAUGUUUCUAGGGUACCAGGGAGCUUGUGGAUACCUUCGUUCGGCGAAACGAAGAAGUUGAUUUUGGUGGGUUUGACUUCAUGAAAAUGGGGCAAAAUGGCUCCUAUGCCUUCUAACCCUUUUGUAAAGUAUUUUUGAAUGCAAAUUUAUGCUAAACAUGAUUUAUAUGAAUUUUAGAACACUUAACAUGCAUGCCUCAGGUAUCGUAAAAUUUGUACUCCAUAUAGUAGAGCUAUAUGUGUAGAUUGCAUGCAUUGUGGAUAGUGCUUGGUUUCGCAAGUUGAGAACAUGUCUCCAUGCUAGAAUUGAGUGAACUAUGCAUCAUGAACAUAUUAAUGCCAUGCUUGGGACUCGUUGAACAAAAGUGUCAUAAAGGGGCACUUAGGAUUAGUAAACUAUGAAACUGCAACAUAGAGACAUAUCGAUAGGCCACUAUUUAUCCGCUACAUUCCAUGUUAGAGACAUGAUGACAUAGGGAUAGGUCAUUGGGAUACUUGACACAUUCCAUGCUAUUAGACAUGAGGAUUUGAUACUUGCGAUAGAUCGUUUGACUACUUGCCAUUGUGCUUAUUCGCACAUGCUUGUGAGGGUCGCUCCCUACAAGCCGGCACUCCGGAGAUAGCCAUCGCGAUUCGUAUUCACCGUGCGGGAUUGGGCGCCGAAAUGGAUCGCCGUGGGACAGGCUCAUUUCUAGGGUGGGAAUGAUGACUACCACGGGGCCAUUAGGCUCGGCACUGGCCAGACAGCCUACGGGUGGGUCUCAGGGCCAUAGACAGCCUUCGGGUGGGUCUCUUCAGAUUUGACUUUGAGUAUUCAUUAUGACAUGUGGACAGAUGAUGACUUAGUGUACUACUUGGACAUUGGCUAGAAUAGUAAACAACGGAGCUUCACUAUUCGCAUUGUGAACAUUAUGAUAGUUAGAGACUUUUACUUCAUGCAUAGUUGCUUCAUACUUAUGCUAUUUAUGCUAAGUAGAGAUAUCAUGUUGUAGUAAGUUACAUUUUACUUACCUUUCGCUUUUCUACAUUUAUAGUUACUGACAUCUUUUGUAGCUUUGGGCCUUGUGGUGCAAUCACUGAAGUCAGUAAUUGCCCACUGGGAACUAUUUUUAAUAGUUCUCACGCCCCUGUUUUAUGGUUUNGCGUAAGGCGUGUUAGUGGAGUUGUUAUCCUAGCAAACCCUUCCACGAACCGCCGGUAGUAGCCCGCAAGUCCAAGGAAGCUAUGAAUUUCCACCACACUUGUCGGGCGAGGCCAAUCUUUAAUCGCCUCAACUUUCUUUGGGUCCACCGAGAUGCCUUCACUGGAUAUAACGUGACCCAAGAAGGUAAUCUCCGAAAGCCAAAACUCACACUUCUUGAGUUUUGCAUACAGCUUUUCCUUCCGGAGUAUAUCCAACACAAGCCUUAAAUGCUCAUCGUGUUCUUCCUUCGUCCGAGAAUAUACCAAUACGUCGUCAAUGAAAACCACGACGUACCAGUCCAAUAGCGGACGGAAGACUCGAUUCAUCAAGUCCAUAAAGGCUGCCGGGGCAUUGGUAAGCCCAAACGACAUCACCAUGAACUCAUAGUGGCCAUAUCGCGUACGGUACGCUGUUUUGUGCACAUCCUUGGGCCGUAUCUUCAAUUGAUGAUACCCCGACUGAAGAUCAUUCUUAGAAUAUACCCUUGACCCUUGCAACUGAUCGAAUAGAUCGUCAAUCCUUGACAAUGGGUAUUUAUUCUUAAUCGUCACCUUGUUCAACUCGCGAUAAUCAACGCAAAGUUGAAGAGUGUCGUCUUUCUUCUUCACAAAUAGCACCGGAGCUCCCCACGGAGACACACUCGGCCGCACGAAGCCUUUAUCGAGCAAGUCUUGCAACUGGGCUUUUAGCUCCUUUAACUCUACCGAUGCCAUUCUAUACGGAGCCUUCGAAACCGGCGCCGCCCCAGGAAUCAAGUCAAUGACAAAUUCGACUUCCCGGUCCGGUGGCAAUCCCGGUAACUCCACCGGAAAUACAUCCGGAUACUCGCAUACCACCCGAGUACUUUCCAAUUCCGGGUGCUCCUUUUGAGGGUCCACGAUAGUCGCCAAGUAGGCCUUGCAACCACCCUUAAUCAUUUUCUUUGCCCUCACCAAUGAUAUGGUCGCCGCAAAAUGCGCACCAUUACACGCCUUAUAAACCAUCUCCUCUUGGUUAGGCUCACGGAAAGUGAUCACCUUCCUUUUGCAAUUGAUAACCGCGUAAUACUUGGAGAGCCAGUUGGUAACCAAGAUUACGUCAAACCCCACAGAUGCUUCAACACUAAUAGGUUGAUCGACAUGACCCAAUCGCCUAUCUGCACUGGGCAGUCCAAAUACUCGUCAUGCACAUGAAACGUAAGUCCAGGUGCUGUCACCGUCCAAUAAUCCUCAUAAUGCGUGACCUCUAUGUCAUGAGCUAGUGCAAAUGAUGCUGUUAUGAAUGAUUGAGAUGCACCUGUGUCAAAUAUGGCUCUAGCCCUAGUGCCUCUGAUAAGGAUAAUACCUGCCACGACGUCGUCGAGAACGGUAAUCGGCGGCUCCUCCACCUGAGUGGCAAAUACCCGCCCACUAGGUGCUCGAGAGGCCUCCGGCUGACGAGGCACCGACGAUCGUCCAGCAGACGUAGCGGGUGGUAGUCCCGCCAGCUGUCGCUGAGUGUACUAAACUAAAGCUGAUGACGGAGCUGGAGAUGCGCCGCCCGGGCACUCUCGGCCUAUAUGUCCCGGUUGGCCGCAUCGGUAACACCGCCCCUCCCGCUGUAGGCAAGUAGUAACUCGGUGGUCUCCGCCACAUAUCACGCACGGGUAGGUAGUCUGGCUCUGAGACUGAUUCCUGCCUCCCCGCCACUACGAUCACUGUUGCCACAGGGGUCGCUUAGAACUCGACUGCCCCGGAGAUCCACUAGACGUCCGCUUCUUGGACUUGUCCUUUUUCCUAUCCUUCUCAAAUGCCUCGCGCUCGUCUCACGCAAUGGCAUUGCCGCACUCCACCCAAAAUGCGCGAUCAAGCACUUCCUCGUAGGUCUUUAACCGGAAGGCGUGAAUGACCUUGAAAAUCUCGGGUCGCUACCCGCGCUCGAAUGCCUCCGCCCGGUCCCUAUCGCCAUAAACCAAGCUCGACACGCAAUUGACGAGGUGCGUGAACUCCCGUUCAUACUCCCGCACCAUGCGACUUCCUUGCCUUAGCUUCCGAAAAUCCUCCUUGAUUUUUCUUUUGUCACUCUCGAAAAAAUACUCCAUAAGUAGCAUCUCCCGAAACGUCUCCCAAGUAAUAGAAGUGUGCUCCAACGAAUGAUUCUUCUUUGCCCGAGUCCACCACAACGGUGCAGACUCGUCGAAACAAUGAGCCACAAGGUGAACUUUAUCCUUCUCGAGGGUGUAGAUAUCCUCGAACAAGGCCUCCAUCGCGGCUAGCCAACUCUCCGUCACCCACAGGUCCUUCACAUCGCCGUUGAAGGUCAGAGGGUUGAAUCGCUUGAAUGCCGUCAACGCCGCCAACAUGCGCUCCUGCUCGGCCUCAAGUACAUCAGGAAUAGAAGCCGAUGAACCCGAUGCCGUCGGAGGAAUAGCCGUCACCGGUGCUGCCGCCACCGCAGGAGGUGGUGCUACAGGAGCAGCAGGUGCGGGCGGAUCCCUCGGCACAAAUACCGCCGCUGCCGCCUGUCGCGCCAUCAUCUCGUGGAGCUGUCCAAUCUGCUCCCCUUGUAGCUGCAUAGCCCCGGCCAAUGCCGCUACUUGGGCUCGGAGCUCGCGCACUUCAUCCGAUCCCGUCUGCUCGGGCACUUCAUCAAGCAGUGUCGAAGCGACUCUAUGUGUGUAGCGUCUGAAACGCAGCACACGCAUUAGUACUCAACACACGUGAUUCUUACACGUUCCAAAUAACUACCCAAUUAAGCGAAAGCAACCAAACAUAAUUAUUUCCAACUCUCGGUGUUAUGUGGUCGGCCUCCCCACAAAGUCCCUUAAGUAGACAACAAUUAAGCCUUCUAAUCUAUCUCUACUUCCUUCUAGAGAAGUGUUAUCGUUAACCCAAUCAUUCGCUUUCGCAUAAGCCAAAUCCACGUUAAACGUUUCCUAACCUCCUAAGGUCUCCAAUUCCUAGGGUUCCUAGGUCAUUCCUAUACGUUUGCUUUCAACUUUGCUCUGAUACCAUUAUAUCUGUCACGCCCCAAUCCCCGCCAAUUUGAUCAGGUUCGGGUCACGUCAAAAGACGCCAAAUGGACAGAGCCUCCCCUGUCCGCCCAAGGCUCAAAACAUGUAUAAUAAAGCAAUCAAACAAUGAGAUUAACAUUUAUACAAGGCUUGCACGAGGGCAAGCAACAACGAAAGCAAAAGCUCUAAGCUAAUAUAUUCAACCAUACAUAAUACUUGAUUACAUUUGAACCAAAUAAAAAUAAAUUGAACUAUCACAUUUCUUUCGCAAUCUUUCAUGAUUCUUUACAUUUAGCCAUUCACCAAAAUUACAUAUUUGAUAUCAACUUUACAACUUUCUAAAUCAACAAAAGAAGUUGAUACAUGUAAACCAAAAGGGGAAUGACUACAAAAUAUGAAAUAGUCCCGGUGGCCGCUAUCUACGGCGCUAGACCCUUGCCUCGGUCCUCCGCCGCCCCGCUCGUGCUAGGACCUGUAGGGUUAGUAGUGUGAAAACUACAACUAAGUUCCCAGUGAGUUCAACAACCGACCUCGCCGACUUACCCACUAGGUCUAUUUCAGGCAUAAGUAUUUCAACGGAAAGGAAAUAGUAGCUAAACUAAUGCUAAUACUAUGCCUGGAAGAAAGAGGUCAGUGGAUAUAGAUAUGAAAGCAAUAAAUAUGCAUGCUUGCUUGAUCGAUACUUUUCUUUGGCUUUUACCAAUCUUACCAGUUAACUUUGUUAACACCAAUGACUUACAACCCAAAAUCUCUUUUGAUCGAGGAGGCUUCGAGCACUUCCACUCGAGGGACCGUCCUUCGGGGCCACUAUCCCCGUGGUGACCUACUCCGAAGCGCACCGCUUGAAGGGGAGCUACCGCCCUCAAGCCAAGACUUAUCGUGAAUAUUAAUCCGAUUCCCAACUUGGGAACGUAUAGCCACUAGUCACAAUGCCACUAUCAUAAUCGAUUUUCUACCUAUUUAUUCAUGCCACUCAUGGUUAAACUAUGUUUAACAAUCACUAUCUCAAUGCCAAUCUUGUCUCUAUAGUCAAUGUCACCUUGUUUACAAAGAUCAAGGUCCAAGUCUCAUAUUCAUACAUCUCUAGGGUUCUAGCAUACAUGUCCAUUAUGGUUCUAUCAUUCUUUAUAUCCAACUACAUUAUAAGCACAUAAAUAAAAUUACACCAAAGUUCACAUGUAAGCAACCCUAAUAUGCAUGAACGACUAUAUACAAUAUGCUCAAAUAAAAAGUGACAUAGACAUAGAAGGGAAUCCAACGAUUCCGGAAUGCACCCCCCACCUCGCGUGGUUGUGUAGGUGUAGAAUGUGACGACUCCCGAACUUUAUGAAAGCCGAUUUCGCGCCCUAUAACCAAAAUAGUGUCAUAAUAGGCCUUUUGUACAUGAACUAUACUCAAACAUUUUCGUAACGUCCAACGGAGUUGUCCAACGCGUUUAUUUGACCCCCAAUUAGGUUUCUACGAGGUCAAUUCGCCCUCGAAAAAUUCUAGGGCAAAAGCCCCAAAUUUGAGCCCUAACAAUGCCUUCUAGGGUUUCCUCUUAGAUUGAUCUUGUUGCUAAGCAAAAGGUAGCUUAGAAUCAUUUAGGAAGCAUUCUAAUAAAGUUUCUAAGCUUUUAGAACUAGGGCAUCUACCAUGAGCCCUAGUGAUCCACCAUGAGAGCUCCCCAAGAAAACCAUGGAUUUCAUGGUUUCAAGGUCAAUAGAGGGUUUCUAGGUUAAUUAGAGGAUCAAAACUCUAAAUCCCAAGGUUUAAAAUCAAACCCUAGAGUUCUACAUGCUAGAAAACUCACCUUAACCCAAGUUCCACCAAGCUCCUCCUUGUUGGAGAGCUCCUAGACCCACUAAACCCACCAAAAAUCCACUUCCCAAGCUUCUCCUUCUUCUUCUCCAAGCUCUAGGGCUAAGUUUCUAGAGAGAGAAAGAGAGGAAAAUGAGAGAGAGAGGUGAAGAUGGUUGUGGGAGUGAAGGGCUAGGGCAUAUAUCAUGUUGUAACAUUUGCAACUAGGCCCUCCCAACUUCAAAAUUCUGUAUCUACCCUUACUGGGCAAUUUUCGCAGUCGGGGAUCGAUCUCCCCGACCAGGGACGGGUUCCCAAACGUUUAAUUUCCAAGACUUAGCCGAUUUUUGGGUUUUCUGGCUGGCUGCACAGCGAGGGACCGGUCUGUCCUUCAGGGACCGGUUCCUUAGGGACCAGUCUCACUGCCAGGGACUGGUUCCUCAAGGUUCCUGGCAAGCUACGCGUACGGGGACCGGUCUCUCCUUCAGGGACCGGUCCCUCACAAAAUCUGGGACUUAACCUUCCCUAUAUAACACAUAUAUAGGCUCUAAGGCACUUAGGGCCUAUACAUACUCAUCCCACUCUGCGUUCCGCUCAUUCCGACAGAACUCGACACGAUUUACGGAGAAUGUGGUAUGUUACAGAAUCCACCUAUCCCUAAGUUCACAAUCCACUAGUGUCACUUUACACUAAGUUAUAUGCCACUCGUUCUGUUCAUUUAUCAAUCAUGUGCCCCUCAUUAUGUCACGAGGUAACCAUCGAGUCCAUCUCUUUUCCUCAGCACUAUAGAAUUCAAUGUCAAGACCCAAUCCUCAUCUAUCCAUUAUACCAAGCAUUCAACUCACACUAUGAUGUCAAUUAGAAAGCAUAAGGAAUGGAAAACAAUGCAAUCAUACAAUACAACAUGCAAGAGAUGCAAAAUCAUAGUGUGCUAAGACAUAGAGAGGAAUCUGGUUGCUUCGGGAUGACACCACCCACCUUUCGACGAUGUAGGGGUUCUAAGAACGUGUUUCGGCACUUGUUACGACGUUGUCUCGGCCUCCGAGGCGGAAACGAAGCCCAACCGGUCUUGUUUUGCCGAUUUCUUUUCAACGACUCGACGAAAUGUCAAUCCAUCUUCGCCAACGCGUUUAGACACCUAGCAAUUAGGUUUAGAUGCUAUCAAUUGAGAUCAAACCUUAUUAUUAAGCAAAGCCCCAAUUUGGAGCCCUAGGUUUGCAUCUAUGCAAAAAUGCCCCAACAAAUCUCUAGCUUUAAGCAUUAAACAUCUAUUAAGCAUGCUAGAGUUCUAAUCAAACCAUUUCUAGAGCAAGAAAUCUAAGCCCUAAGAGUCUACCAUUGUUGAGCUCAAAAGCUUACCUCCAAGCUUGCUCCAAUGGUGAGGAGAGGAAGAAGAAGGUGACAAAAGCCCUUCUCUAGCUUGCUUCUCCUUCUUCCUCUUCUUCUUCUCCUUCAUUUCCUCCUUCUCCUUCUUCACUUCAAGAAAGAGGGAGAGAGUGUUUAGAGAGAGAGAGAGAGAGAGAGAGAGUGUUGGGUGUGAAAAUGAGAGAGGGAGAGAAUGAUCUCCCCUCUAUACCCCCAACUAAUGCAACAAUUGCAUAAUAGCCCCUCCACUUUGCUUCUCUCACACUGCCCAGACUGAGCAGUUUUCAUGCUCGGGGACCAGUCUAUCCCUAAAGGGACCGGUCCUCGAGAGCAACCCUUGCGGGUAGAGGCUCUCAGCCAGCUUCUACGCGUACGUGGACCAGUCCUCGCCUGAGGGACCAGACCUUCAAGGAUCGGUCCCCUCUCGAGGGACCGGACCCCAAGAGCAAACAUCGCGCGCAAAAUUUUUCUGCCGCACAUUCAGCUUACGGGGACCGGUCUCUCCCACCAGGGACCGGUCCCUGAGAGCAAAAUCUGCAAAGUUGUAGAUUUCCAUUAUUUUGCUCUCCGAGGCCCUCGCCAAUGCACUUUUUGGAUUUUUGACUCCUUCGGCCUUUUCAAAGCGUACCGACUCGACAAUUAGUCGAUUCUGAACUAAGUCCAACUCUCGGAUUUCGAGAAUUCACUUCCUUACACCAGGUGCCGCCGCCGCCACUUGCUGCGCUACCAACUCCUGCAGCCUUCCAAUUUGAUCCUCUUGGCGCUGCACCACACCGACUAGUGCAGCCACUUGCGCUCGCAGCUCCUGCACCUCAUCAAAUCCAGAAUGCUCGGGCACCUCAGAAAGUGGGGCCGGAGCGGAUCUCGUCAUGGGGCAUCUCGUCUGUAGUGUACCAAGUCCUUGGUGCGCUAAACCGAACUUGUCAAAUUGACCAAAGUGAGGUAAUGGACGCUUUAGAGAGGUCCGUUGAGUGUUCCGAGUGAUCAGAAUGACUUAUAAGGAUAUAAGGGACCAAAAGGGACCUUGGAGAGCAAGAUUGGAAAAAUUCAAAAAUUUUUGUAUUUGGAGUGCUCUCAGGGUCCCGACCCUGCAUAUAGGGUUCAGACCCCGUACACAAGAAAACGUGAAGUUGAGCAAAAACACCUAUUUGUGUGAGGAGCUAUGUGCAAUUGUGCUGGGGAGUGUAUAUAUGAGGGAACUUAGCUAUUUUCCCUCAUUUCCCCUAACACUCUCAACCAAAGAGAGUUUCUCUCUCUCUUUAAAUCUCUCUCUCUCUCUCCUAGGGUUUGCUUCAAUAGUGGAAAAAAUGGUGAGCUUGCUUAGUGGUGAAGCAACCUCAUGUGCAAGCUUGGCUUGGGAGAGAGCUUGGAUUAGAGGUAAGCAUCAUGAGGUUUGAGGGUUUUUGGUUAGGGUUUUGUGUAGAAACCUUAGAAAUGUGAUAAAUUGGAACCCUAGAUGAUUCUAAUCUAUGUUAUUGCAAGAAUCAUGAUGAGAUUUGGAUUAUAAGCAAUAUAUGGAUUUUUAGGGUUUCAAAUGAGGGUUUUUACUCAUGAUGAGUUUUGAUCUUAAUUAGUCCCUUAAUUCCGCAAUUGAAGGUAAAGCUGACGCAGUGGACUACUUAGAUUGAGGUUUCGUUGAGCCGAGGUUGGUCGAUUUGGAGAAAUUGCCGUUUUGGCUUCGUUUGCUGCAGUCGGGAGAAAUCGACGAUGAUAAAUUACGCAGCUUGGCUUUCCCGCUUCGUGGCAUCGACACGAGGUGGGGGGUGCUAUCCGAAAUAGCCAGAUUUCAUUCUAUGUCUAAGUUCUACAUUUUGAUCAUAUAACAUCAUGCAUUUAUGUGAGAAACCUAUGAGUCCUUGGUAAAUUCAUGCUUAGUGUGAGGGAUGAUGAUCCAUGUUGCAUGAUACUUGUAGGUGUAUAAUUUCCAUGAUAUUGAGGUAGAUGGAUAUAUGUGUAUGCAUGAGAUGCUAGUGGACAUAUACAUGUGAACAUGUAGUGAGAACAUGUUAGAUAUGUUGCAUGAGAACCAUAUAUGCUCUUAUUGUAUAAUGCCAAGAUAGUUGUAUAUAUGCAUGUUGCAUGAAUUGCUAGUGGACAUAUAUGUAUGUGGACAUAUUGUGAGAAUAUGCUAGAUUCAUGUGAAUUAGAGAUGUGUACAUGAUGUGAGAAUAUACUAGAUAUGUGUGUGAGAUGCUAGAGGGCAUAUGUAUGUGGACCUAUUAUGAUAAUUGGAAGACAUUGCAUAUGUAGCAUAUCCUCACUCGUGAGAAUUGUGAACUUGGCAUUAUGAGAAUUAGGAUGUAGGAUUCCCGAGGCUCUCGGACAAGAGGACUUGAGCAUAAUGCAUAUGUGGCCGAUUGUGAGCAUUGCAUGCCUUGUGAUGGAUAGGGAUGUGGGAUUCCCGCAGUCCUCGGGCAGGAGGACUAUGAUCAUACUCGCGUCGUCUGUUGUGUUAGCGGAUACUCGCUUAGACGUCUAUUGUGUUACUAGAGGUCGCAUCUCCCAUUCUUGUGAGCUCCGGAGUUGUAUCACGGUGAGAUAGAGACGAAGGGGGUAAGGCACCGAGGGUGUGCCCCCGGCAGACGGUCAUGGUUGCGUGACAUUUGCGUGGCGAGUUGUGGUUCGACCUUCGGGCGAAUCAAUUUGAUUAGAUUCAAGGCAUGGUUAUGGCAUUUCAUAUAGAUGCAUACAUAGUAGAACAUUGAUAGAUGACAUUGUUCAUGACAUAGUAGAACUUAUUCUUGUUGACAUGAUUGGUAAAGGUAUAUAUAGCUACACAUUUGAAGCAUGAUAUAGAUGUAUAUGAGCAGGUUAGGCUUAUUGUUUAUCUAUUAUCUCUUUGACAUAUUAUCCUAUCUAUUGUUUCUAUGCCAUCUUAGACCUAGUGGAAAAAUCGGCGGGGUCGGCGGCCGAACCCACUGGGAGCUUUGUUUAGUUCUCACACCCUGUUUUUACAGAGCCAAACGUGAGCGCAUUCGUCGAGGACGCGGCUUGGGCAUCGAGCCCUAGAUAGUGUGGACCACCAGCAUUAGCUCACUACCCUCAAAUAUAUAAAGGAAAAGAAAAAGAAAUGUAUAACGCUUUGGAAAGAAAUGUAUAACGCUUCGGCCGCCAACAUAACCUCCUCGAGUUGAGAACAAAUAUUACUUGAAUACGUCUCUAUCAACCAUUAGAGACAUACUAGCACUACACUUAAUUGGCUUAACCUCCGCCACAAAUCGUAGAUCCGCGUCACUCACGCACCUAUGUCCUUAGGGUCACCGUCCUAGGAUCUCCUAAGUCCAUCCUAAACUUCUCUCUUUUACAUGAUCUGAUACCACGCUCUGUCACGCCCCACGCCCCGGGACCGCCAAUUUGGUCAGUUCGGGCGCACGGGCGGACCGCCGAACGGACAAGAUUUCCCCUAUCCGCCUAAGACUCAACAAAAAUCAUGUAUAUCUAGUUUGCCCAGGUAAAACAUAAUCAACAUACAUGAAUUGCGCGAGGGUAACAUAAACAAGAGUAAGAGAGAAAUACUAGCUAUUACAUUCCACAUUUGAAUAUUUACAUUCAACCACCAAAAUACAUUUGGUUUACACAAUUUGUUCCAUAAUACAUGUACAUCAUCCAAAAGUAACCUCUCCCAAAAUACAUCAUGUCCCUCGAUAUAAUACAUGGUACUCUAAUGCAAAGGAGGCUAUUAUCUAGGACGCUAUGCCCUUACCGUGAUUCUCGACCACUCCGUUCGUGCUAGGCUCUGCAAUAAAGUAGGAUGAGAACAAACAAAAGUUUCCAGUGGGUUCGGCCGCCGACCGCGGUGAUUUUCCCACUAUGUCUAAGCAGGCAUAAGUAGAAAGGUUAGCACAUAAUAAAAAACUAGUAUGCUACUAUACCUCAACAAUAUGAUACAAUAAACAGGUACAAUAAACAGGUACGUACUAGCAACUAAUUUUCAUUAAAUUAUGCAAGGGCUUUUUUUUGCAUAAAUUAAAUUAAAAAUAUUAAUUUAUGCAAGGAUUUUUUUGCAAAUGGCCUCCUGAAAAAUAUUUAUUUUAAAAUUAGCCCUGUCAAAAUUUAAUUUGCAAAAAUGGCCCUGGCCCUGCCGCGCAGGCGCCACAUCAGCGCCACGCGGGCAGGGCUGGGGCCAAUGUGUUAAGUUUGAACACGGUGAACCAUUCACCGUGUUCAAACACGGUGAAUGAUUCACCGUGUUUCAUAUUUAUGUUUCUUUUCUUCUUUUUUAGGGAUGUCAACGGGUCGGGUUUGGAUCGGGUUUUAAAAAAUCUGAAUCCGAAUCCGAAAAUCAAAUUAAAAUCCAAACCCAAAUACGAACCCGGCGGUAGGGGUGGAACUGGGCCGGGUUUGGGUCGGGUAAUACUAUGCCCAAGCCCAGUCCAAAUGAAAAUGUUGGGCUUCGGGUCGGGCUUUUACCCAAUUUUUUUUUGAAAAUAAAGGCCCGGCCCAAGCCCAAGCCCAAUGCCCAAUACCCAUUGCGCUUUGUGGAGGCCCAUUUUAUGCAUUUGUCAUAGAAUACAUAAAUACUUUUAUUUGUAUAAAAUUAAAAUAAAAUACCUAGUUUUAGUUAGAUCACAUCAAAGAAAUUAAUAUCUAACAACAAAUAUAUCCUAAUAUAGAACUAAAUAUUUUGUUAAUAUAUAAUAUAUCCUCAUAUAUAUAAGUACAUAUCAUUAAUAACNAUUAAUAUCUAACAACAAAUAUAUCCUAAUAUAGAACUAAAUAUUUUGUUAAUAUAUAAUAUAUCCUCAUAUAUAUAAGUACAUAUCAUUAAUAACAAUAUAUACUAUAUAUGAUAUACUAUAUUAUUUAUUUCUUUUAAUAGAUAAAUAAUAUAUAUAUAAUUAAAUAUUUUAUUUUGAUAAUUAAUAUAUCAAGCUUUUGGGCCGGGCUCGGGCCGGGCUUGGACAUGCCCAAAUAGGCCCAAAAUUUUUUGGGGCUAAAAUUUUUAAGCCCGGCCCGAACCCAAAGUUAUAUUUUUAAUAACCAAAGCCCGGCCGAAACAUGGCCCAUCGGGCCGGGCCUUGUUUAGGCCCGGGCCCGGUUCCACCCCUACCCGGCGGGCUUUUAAAAAUCCAUACCCAUAUAAAACCCAUACCUAUAUAACUUUAAUAUAUGGAUAUGGGUAUGGAUUUUUAAAAACCCGCCGGGCUCGGAUUCGUGUUCGGGUUUUAAUUUGAUUUUUGGAUUCGAUUUCGGUUUUUAAAAACAUGAUCUAAACCCGAUCCGUUGACAUCCCAAAAGAGAAGAAAAGGAAUAUAAAUAUGAAACACGGUGAAUCAUUCACCGUGUUCGAACACGGUGAAUGGUUCACCGUGUUCAACUUAACAUACUGGCCCCAGCCCUGCCUGCGUGGCGCUGACGUGGCGCCUGCGUGGCAGGGCCAGGACCAUUUUUGCAAAUUAAAUUUUGACAGGACUAUUUUUAAAAUAAAAAUUUGUCAGAGGGCUAAAUUGGAAAAAAGCCCUUUUCCACUUGGAAAAUGCUAACUGGACAACAGGGUUGGGUUGUAGAUCCUACAACUCAAAGAUCCAACGGUUGAUAUUAAUCACUUUGCACAGUAGGUUAUAAACUCACCCUCUUUUUUUUUUCACCUACUACUACACCCACAGUUGUCGCCUUCUCUCUCUCUCGCUCUCUCGGUCUCUCCACCAUCUCUCUCUCUCGCUCUCUCUCUCUGUUUCUCGCUCUGUCCUGCACACCUCUCGCCACUCUCUUCCGCACAGGUCUCACCAUCUCUGAGUUUCUUCCUCUCGCUCUCAUCUCUCUCUCUCUCUCUCUCUCUCUCUCUCUCUCUCUCUCUCUUGCUCCUCGCUCGCUCACAGAUCACUCCAUCGAGCGCUGUUCGGCAGGAAAGGCGGUAGGUAGAAGCUCGUGUCCGAAGCUGUCUCGAAGGUGUCUCUCGCCCUCACCUCUCUUCAAUGGUAGGAGGUCGCGUCUCAACUGCUCCACUGUUCAUCCCAGUACCUGUGACGCAUUCCUUCAGUCGUGGGCGUCCAAAAUUGGGAACGAUUUCGGAGCUAAUUCGGCCACAACCGAACAGAGGAUUCAACUCAAAUAGGGGAUAUUUUUGAAUUUCUAUAAUUUUUUAUUUCUAAUUUUAAAUUUAAUAUAAAAUUUAUAUUUUGAGGGUUUAGGGUUGCAACUUGGGUUCGUCUGUGCAUGCUCCGGAUUUCGUCAUAAGGUUUACUCAGCUGGUAUAUUAUAUUAUUUGUUGCAUUUGUAAAAAUAAAGCAUUUAUGAUUUUAGUGUUUAGAAGAUGCGCCCACAGUAACAUACAUAUAUUUCAUGUAUUUCAUAAAUUUUGCUUAGUUUAUGAUAGAAAACAUGUUUAUGGUUACCAGUAUGUAGAAAGGUAUAGAAAAUAUGUUUGGGGUUACUAGUAUAUUCUCUUAUUCAUACUUCUAUACUUGUAUUAAUAAUUAAUUUGUUUGUAUUCGUAUAUGUAUAGUUGGCUAGGAAUAUGUAUGCAUUGCAAUCUGUCACUCUUAUGCCAUAAAGGGUUUACUCUUAGAGCUUAUAAGAACACUCUUAGUAGAACACUCUUAUAGAAUUUGUGUUUGCGAAUAUAUAUGCUUGACAAUCUAACACUCUUAUGCCAUAAAAGAACACUCUUACAGCUUAAUGUCUGCUACCAUGAAUGACGCACCUCGCACGGUCGAUGGAUUUUGGCCGUGGGGUAGUAUUCAUAAUUCAGAUGAGUAUUUAUAUGUAUGUGUAGGUAUCAGGUAUUGCGAGUCCAUGGCUUCCAAUAGAUGCAAGCAUCUACUGUUAAUUACCCCCUUGAGAUUGGGGCACCUUCGAUUAAGAGACCUUUAUAUCUUGGAUGAGAUGGAUCGUAUCUCGGUUUAUUGAAUCCUAAGUAUAUGUAUUAGGAUUCAGUUGGAUUUGAGGUUGAUUAGGCCCUAAGUAUAUGUGUUAAGACCUAAUCGAUAUUAAACUCUAUGUAUUAGAGUUUAAUUGGUUCAUGAGAUAUGGGUAUGAGAUCUGGGUAUUGGUUCAUGGGAUUUGGGUAUUGGUUUAUGAGAUUUGGGUAUUGGUUCAUGGGCUAUGGGUAUUGGUUUAUGAGAUUUGAAGAUGAUUUAGUUCAUGGCUCAUAGGAUUUGGCCUAUGGUUCAUGAGGUUGGGUAUAUGGUCCAUGGGAUUUGGUCCAUGAGAUUUCGUCUUCAUGGUUCACUCAUGAGAUUUGGCUCGCAUAGUUUCGUUGUUGUUCCAUACGGAUUUGGCCAUAGGUUUCGACUUAUCGGUUCAUAGUAUUCUGCGCCAUGCAUUUCGGCUUGGUUCAUGACGAUGCUCCACUGGAGAUUUGGUUUUUUGUUCCCCAUCGGGAUUUUGUCCUAUGACGGUUUGGUUAUUGGUUCAUGGAAUUGGUCCCAUGAGUUUGGUCUUGGUUCAUACGGAUUUUUGGCUCCAUCGAACCUGGUUUUGGCUCAUGAGAUUUUGUCCCAUGAGAUUUGUUUUGGUUUUUGUUCCCUGGGGAUUACUGGUCACAAUGAGGUUUGCGUUUGAGUUCCAUGUGGAUUUAGGUCCAUGACUUGUGUUUGGCUCAAUGGAUUUGCUCCCAUGGAGGAGUUGGGUUUGGUUCAUGGAAUUUGUCCAUAACUUGAGUUUGGCUCAUGGGCAUUUGUCCAUGAGUUUGGUUGUUGUUUCACAUAAGGGCAUUUUGGUCAUGAGAGUGUGUGUGAGAAUGGGAUUGCGGUCCAUGCAGGAAUUUGGUUUGGCUUCAUGGGAUUUGCUCCGAUCGAGGUUUGGUGAUUUGGCUCAUGGGAUCUUGCGUCCGAUCGAGAGUUUGGUUCUUGCGUUCAUGGGCGAUUGUGCUCAUGAACGCUUGGUUUGAACUCAUGGAUGUCUGUCCAUGACGAUUCUGGUUUGGUUCAUUCGGGAUAUUUGUCCUGAACUUGGUAUUUGGCAUCAUAGUGGAGAUUGAUCUCAUUCGAGUUUGGUCUGUGGUUCAUUGGGAUUUGGUACAUGCAACUUAUUUUUGGCUCAUGAGAUGUUGGUCCAUGAGGCUUUGGUUUUAUGGUUCAUGGGAUAUAUUGGUCCCAUGAAACUUGGUUUUGCUCAUGGAUUGGCAGUCCAUGCAGGAUUCUCGGUUUUGCUUCAUGGCGCAUGAUUGCUCCAAUAGAGGCGGCCGGCUUCUGGCUCAUGGGAUUUGGUCCAUCGAGGGUUUGCAUUUGGGUUCCAUAUAGGGUUGGCUCCAUGAACUUGGUUUUCCGGCCAUUCUUGAUUCUGGAAGGGUUUGGGCGUUCAUUUAUAGUGGCAACUUGGUUGGUUUCGGUUAUUUUUGGUUUUGGGUUGGAUGUUUAUUUGGCCAUGACACUUGGUGUUGGUUAGUUUGGGGGGCACGUUUGCUUCUUGUAAUGGUGACUUGUUUGGCUUUGGGCCUUUAUUUGGGUUUGGUUGGACUUUAUUUGGAACUUGGUUUGGUUUAGGUUUGGGCCAUUUGGCUUUGAGUGAUUGGUUUGAUUUGGGUUAUUCUGCUGUUUGGGUUAUGGUUUGGGUUUGCGGACAUAGAACUUGAUUUAUGGUGUAGGUGAACUGAUUUCGCAAUUUGGUUCCGAUAUUGAAAACUUAGAUUGCAAUUUGGGAUUCGCAUAUCACCUACGUUAAUUUCGCAUUAGUAAGCUUCUGCGUAGAUAAACUCAUGCAUUUCAAUUUGAUUUGCGGGUCGAAGAAAGUCCUUUUUGAUUUUGCACAUAGAUUUUGGGGAAUCCGAAGAAAGGUCCACUACUCUGAUUUUGCCAGAUUGCAAAUUUGGGUCGGUCCGAAAGAAAGAUCGCCCAUUGAUUUUGCAAUUGAACUUUGGCGUCCGAAGAAAUCGCCGCUUUGAUUGAAUAUGAAUUGGGGUCCGAAAAUCCCCAGGUUUCGAUUUUCCGAAUUCGAUUUUGGAUUUCGGAGUCCGAAGCAAAUCCCCCGUUGAUUUGCCAUUAGACUCUAGUGGGGUCCGCGAAGCAACGUCCCGUCUGAUUUGAAUUUGAAUUUGAUUCUUAAUAAUUGAUCUUGAUUUUGGGUCGACAGAAAAUCCCCGUUUGUUCAUGAAUUUGGGGUCCGAAGAAAUCCCCACUGUUGAUUCCCAAUAUCGGAGGUCCGAAGAAAUCCCCCGAUUUUAAUCUUUGAUUUUGGGGUCCGAAAGAAACAGGGGAAUCAUAAGAUUCCGCCCUUCCCACUUCUUCGCGAUCAAUUCAUUCCCAGCGAUUGUUAUAGUGUCGUCCGGAAGCUUGUGACUGGUGGACGGAUCUGUUCGGAAUCCGCAAUUUGAUUUUGACAUAUGUUGAAGAAUAUUGAAGGGCGUUCCGAAAGAAAAGCGGGCGAUCAAAGAUUCCCUCCCAUCUUCUUGUCCGAAAAGGUUAAAUAACGCCUGAAUUGUAGAUGUCGUCGCCGGAGUUGUUCAACGAGUGGCAGUGGAAUCUGUUCGGACCGGCCAAUUUGGUUUCGAUAUUUAUGAACGAAAUGUGAAGGGUCCGAAGAAACAGGGAAUCAAGAUCCCGCCUCCCCAACCGCUUGGACCUCCCUUUCUUCGCGAACGUCAUCAAACCGCGGUUCACGUUUGUCAGAUGAUGUCGACUCGAAGUUUGAUCGACGGUAGUGCGGAUACUUGUUGGGCCGUACGAUAUAAUGAUUGAGACAUUUUCAGAUCAGAAUCAUUGCAAGGGUCGCCACCAGAAACGGGGAAUCAAAAGAUGUUCCCCCUCCCGUCAAUCUCUUUUCUAUCAACUCGCCGUGCUCCGGUGUCGUCCGUAGCUGUGACGAUGGCGUGAUCUUUGUCCACCAUCAAAUUUGAUUUGAUAUUUUCGAAGAAAAUGUUGCAAGGUCCGACGAAACAGGGAAUCAAAAAUCCCUCCCCUAUUCUUCGAAGUAUCAAACCAUACGAUGUUAGGGUGGUCGCAGGCCAUGUUAGAGUCAUCAAUUCAUAUCAACCGGGCUAUCGACAUGGGUAAGUUGAGAGGUCCGAUGAAAUGGGGAAGUCGAAAGAUUCCAUCCACUCUCAACCACCCGAAGCCAUCUAGAUAUAUGGAUGGUAUACGAUCGCAGGCACAAAGAAAAAAGAAAAGGGGGGGGGAGAAAAGAGAUCUUUUUUUUUGACUUAUUUUCUUUCUUUUUUUCUUUCUUUUUUUUUAAUUAUGUUUUCUUUGUUUCUUCUUCAUUUUUCUUUCUCUUUCUUUUUUUUUUUUUUACCUGUUGAUCAAAUGAUGAAUUGGAUGAAGCAGCUCAACGAUUUCUCGUUCUUUCCGCGGCUCGGCGAUAUCUCCUCCUUUCAGCGGCUUGGCGAUAUCUCCUCCUUUCAGCAGCUCGGCGAUAUCUCCUCCUUUCAGCGACUCGGCGAUAUCUCCUCCUUUGAAUAUUUUGAACGUGGAAAUGUGUGUAGCAAUCUAUCUCUCUUUUUGUCUCUGUCCAAAAAAAAGUUCCCCGAAUUUGAUUUCGGUUCCCGUAUUUAUAAUGGGAGGGGAGGGGUUAGUUAAGAAUUCAAAAUUCGAAAUUCGAAUUUUGAAUUAUUUGUUGGAUGAUUGGAGGAUAUUUGGGGAGUGGUUGGGAAUUAAAUUUUGAAUGAGUUGUUGGAUAGUUGGGAGAUAUUGUGGGAGUUGGUUGAAGGUUCGAAAUUCGAAAUUCGAAUUUUGAACGGAUUCUCCAAAGUUGAGCAGGAUGCAAAAAAUUUUCUAAUUUCCCCACCUAUUACAAAGUUCGUCAAUCUGACUAUACAUGUAGUGAUUAGUUAACAUUAAAUAUCUUUGGCAAAAUAUUCUACCUUAACUUGACAGCAAUUCCUUUCUUUCGUAUUAUUAAUUAAAUUUUCUUUUUAUAGGGGACUCAUAUGGCAAGAUGAUACAAAAGGAUCAGAUUCGCCUUCUGUUAGCGGUCAAGUCCUCCUUGAUUACUUAUUUGGAGGCCCGACGCGCGACGAGGUUAGUGCUGCCACAGAUUAUGCAUUGUAGUUAGCGCUUGUAGCUUGUUUUAUACAUAUCUAAUUAUAUAUAUAUAUUAUUCUAAUUCUCUUUGUUUUGCUGACUUUCUUAUUUAGGUGAUUAAUGUAUAUUUCCAUAUAAUUGAUAAGCUCGAUUGUAUGGGUGUACAUAAAUUUAGUCAACUGGAUAUUUUCUUGCGAACUGAAGUUGCGGUGAGUUUGAUACUUUCACUAUUAAAUUAGUUGUUAUCUAUUUCUCUCUUGUUCUCUAUUUCUGUAAGCAAACUUAAAGAAAUAUAAAAGUGAGUUACAAUGGAAGAAAAAAUAUGUGUUGAAGUCCGAAUCCCAAUUUGUUGAAUAAUAUUGAUUAGCUCCUGUUCCAUAAUCUGUGAACAUAUGAAUUGUCCAAAUAAUAGCAUUUGAGUUUCCCACAAGGUUUCGUAAGGCAUCUUGCUAUCUUGAUUCCUAUAUCUAUGCAGAUGCACAUACUCAAUAAGAUGCAGGGAUUUGGAAAGGAUAAGACAGCAACAGCUGAUUUUUUGAGGGAUGUGGUAUUUGGAUCCACAUCUAUACGUCACUUUCUGGAUAAAAUAAAUACACAUACCUGCAGCACUUCUAGAUAUGUACUUAUUCCCUUACAUAGUAAUUGGCAUUGGCAUUGGCAUUUACUAUCAAUUGAUUUGAAGGAACGACGUUUUGAGAGUUGGAACUCUUUGUGGAGCCAUAGCGGGGCACAGGAUGCGGCACAGCUGCUGGUAUUAAUUUAUUCUUCUCAGUAGACAGAGUGUUUUAGUUAUUUAUUCACUCGGCAGUAACAUCUACUAUCCACUUGUUUUAAUUAAUUUACCUUUUUUUUCUCUUGGACAGGCGAAGUGGUUUGCGUCCUAUUUUGAGCACACCCUCCAAAUCCCCGUCGGCGCUCCUGACGUCAUAUUUCAUAAGGAAUGUCAACAACAGGGUUCCACGGAAGUCGAUUGUGGCAUGUACACAUGCCUUUUUGCCGANAUCCCCGUCGGCGCUCCUGACGUCAUAUUUCAUAAGGAAUGUCAACAACAGGGUUCCACGGAAGUCGAUUGUGGCAUGUACACAUGCCUUUUUGCCGAAAGAAUCGUAAGAAACGGCCCCCCGAUCUAUCAUUGUACGAUACUGACCGCCACUCCUUCCGUGCUCAUAUCGUCAGUGCCAUCUUAAAGGAUCCAUAUUGUGUGACCUAUGCUUCUAUGAUCGAGUCCACUGUCGCAAAAGAUGAUGUCUGAAUGUUAUAGGAUUUUGCAAUUGUGACUGGUGUUGUGCAGUUUGUUUAUAUAUUCUCUCAUAUGGCUUGCAUGGCAGUGCUCCUUAGCUUCUCUCUCUUUAGCUGGCUUGGUUCCCGACUAGCCCGUCUCUCUCCCAAGAGCAAGAAUACUGCUUGACUAUCUUAUGCAAUUGUGACUGAUACAGGACAUUUGUUUAUAUAUGAUUGUGAAUGUGCAAUUGUGCACAUUGUGAGUGGUACUGGGCAGAUUUUUUAUAUACGAUUGUGAAUGUGCAAUUGUGAAUUUGUGGCUGGUAUUGGGCAGUUUGUUUAUAUAUGAUUAUGAAUUUAUUUAUAUAUGACUGUGAAUUUGUUUAUAUAUGUGACUGUGCAAGUAUGCACAUUGUGACUGGUUCUGGGCAAUUUGUUUAUAUAUGAUUAUGAAUGUGCAAUUGUGCACAUUGUGAGUGGUACUGGGCAGAUUGUGUAUAUAUGAUUAUGAACUUAUUUAUAUAUGACUGUGAAUUUAUUUAUAUAUAUGACUGGUACUAGGCAGUUUGUUUAUAUAUGACUCUGAAUUUGUUUAUAUAUGAUUGUGAAUUUGCGACUGGUACCGGACAGUUUAUUUAUAUAUGAUUGUGAAUGUUUUAUGUUUUAUGUUUAUAUAUAAUUGUGAAUGUUUUAUGUUGUACAUGGCAGUUUUUUAUAGAAACACUGUCACGCCCCGGGGCUCAGCGGAAGCCUACCCGGCGCGUGUCUAGACCCGCCAUACGUCUAAAACAUAUAAGGCGUCUACAAAAUUUCGAUAGAUAAAACACUAAUACAAAGAGAUCUAGUGAUAUCAGAGCAUUGUACAACUAGUCCUAUAACGAGAAAAAGGACAUAAAGCUGAAAGUCCACUAAUAAAAGCAUAAAGUAAUACAAAGGAAAUCUCAAAUACAAGUGCUAAAAGUAGAUAUAUAGGUGGUCUCUAUACAUGGAUACAAAACCUCUCACUCUCUCAACUAUAAAAAGAAAGAGCGAACCACCUAGGUAAAGAACCGCUCCUCGCUAGCUAGCCAUGCGAUCCCCUUGCCGCGAUCCCGUGCCUCCGCCGGUGCAGAAGGCUCUGAAAAGUAAACCAUAAAACAGGGGCGUGAGAACUAUUAAAAAUAGUUCCCAGUGGGCAAUUACUGACUUCAGUGAAUGCACCACAAGGCCCAAGCUACAAGGAAAGGGUCAGUGUCUAAGAACGUAUGAAAGCGAAAGGUAAGUAGAAUGCAACUUACUACAACAUGAUAUUUCUACUUAGCAUGAAAGGCAUAAGUAUGAAAGCAACUAUGUAUGUAGUAAAAGUUUCCAACUAACAUGAUGUCCAUAAUGCAAAAUAGUAAAGUGCCAAUGUUUACUAUUCUAGUCAAAUUCCAGUCAGUACACUAAGUCAUCAUCUGUCCAUAUGUCAUAGUAAAUGCUCAAAGUCAAAUCUGAAGAGACCCACCCGAAGGCUGUCUAAGGCCCUGAGACCCACCCGUAGGCUGUCUGGCCGGUGCCGAGCCUAAUGGCCCCGUGGUAGUCAUCAUUCCCACCCUAGGAAUGAGCCUGACCACGGCAAUCCACUUUGGCGCCCAAUCCCGCACGGCGAAUAUGAAUCGCGAUGGCUAUCUCCGGAGUGCCGGCUUGUAGGGAGCGACCCUCACAAGCAUGUGCGAAUGAGCACAAUGGCAAGUAGUGAAACGAUCUGUCACAAGUACCAAGUCCUCAUGUCUAAUAACAUGGAAUAUAUCAAGUAUCUCAAUGGCCUAUCUCUAUGUCAUCAUGUCUCUAACAUGGAAUAUAGCAGAUAUGUAGUGGCCUAUCAAUAUGUGUAGCACACUGGACCUUUGCAAAUUGCGAGGUUCGAGUGUUCGAUUGGUAUUCCGAACUUUUCCACACUUGGUGGAGGGCCGUCGAUGGUAUACCGGCCUAAAAGUUCGAUCUCGAGAGUUUUGGCAGAGUCCUGAGAGUUUUUACUCUCGGGGACCGGUCCCUGAUAGGAGAGACCGGUCCCCCAGUGAACAGUGCCGCGCAGCAGGCGAGGCAACCGGUCCUUGGCAGUUGAGACCGGUCCCCGAGCCCGUCUGCGCGGGGAGAGACCGGUCCCGCGCAGGGAGAGACCGGUUCCCGAAUGCUGGUUUUUCGGGUUCGCAGCGAGAGACCGGUCCCUGCUGAGGAGAGACCGGUCCUCUGGGCGAAAACUGCCCAGUCGGGCUGAUGUAAUUGACGUUUUGAGGGGCCCUAUGUGAUUUUUUACUUUACGAGCUAUAGGCAGCCUUUCCUCACCCUCCCCUCCACGUCUCCAUUUUCUCCUCCCUCACACUCCUUCCUACACUUCUAGAGAGAGAAAGGGAGCGAGAAGAAGGAGAAUGAAGAGGAGAAGGAUCUUGCAGUUGAGGCUUGGGCAUCAUCUUCUUCCCCCUCAUUACUCUCGCCCCUUUGGAGGUUUGGAGCUUGCGUUUGGAGCCUUGCUGGAGGAUCUAACUCGCAACCCUACCUUGGUUUUGAGCUUGGAUUGGGGGCUUCUCUUGAGGUUGGUCAGCUUAUAAUCCCUAUUUGAUCUGAUACUUGUUUCCUAGGUUUUCCUAGAUGAACCCUAAAUUUUGGGAUUAGGGGUUUAUUUGGGUUUUUGGAUUUAGGGUUAUGAGACCUAAUUGAUGGGUUUGGACCUCUAUAUAGGUUAGAUUGGAAGACCUCCUACCUUCCCAGUUUGCUUUGAGGUUUAGAGAGGGUUUCCAGUUUAGGUGAGUUUUUCCCAACCCUAGCUUGCGCUUGGUUAAUGUUUGAGCUAUUCCGCAUGCCUUCGUUUCGUUUGGGUGCCCCUAUUUUUGAUGGUUCUAGGGUACUAGGGAGCUUGUGGAUAUUCUUCGUUCGGCGAAACGAAGAAGUCGAUCUUUUUUCGGUGGGUUUGGCUUCGUGAAAAGGGGCCGAAAUGGGCCCUAUUGCUCUUUCUAACCUGUUUGGUAAAUUAUUUUAGAAGUUCGAUUUCUAUGCAAAUGGAAUUUCAUAUGAAUUUUAGAGGCACUUAAGAUGCAUGCCUCGUGUAUCAUCCAGAAUUCACUAUAUACGGAGAGCUAUAGAGUAGAAUGCAGCAUACGGAAAAGUGUUUAUUGCAAGCGAAAAAUACAUCUCCGUGAGAAAAUUAUGACUUGGAAUAUGUACUUUUUCGGAAGCAUAGUUCCAUGUUUUGACAUAGAGAACCAGAGUUGUCAUGAAAGUGGGCCACUUUAAAACUAGUAAAACUAUGAAACCUGCAACCUAAUUAGAGACAUGAUGAAGGGCCUUUUGUACAUCUGGCUAUAUAAUCCAUGUUAGAGACAUGAUACAUAGGGAUACGCCUUUGGGACUUUCGAUCAUUCAUGUUAAUUAGACAUGGACUUGUACUUGCGACAAAUCGUUAAGACUACUUGCCAUUGUGCUCAUUCACGCCACAUGUCUGUGAGGGUCGCUCCCUACAAGCCGGCACUCCGGGAUGGCCAUCGCGAUACAUAUUCGCGCGUGACGGUAAUUGGGCGGCCCGAAGUGGAUUGCCGUGGGCCAGGCCCUCGCCUCCUAGGGGUCCGGUGUUGACUACCACCGGGCCCAUUAGGCUGCCGGCACGGGCCAGACAGCCUACAAGGUGGGUCUCAGUGCCAUAGACGGCUCUUCGGGUGGCUCUCCCUUCAGAUUUGACAGUUGAGUAUCAAUCAUGACAUGUGACAAUGAUGACCUGUAUGAGUAAAUUUUCGGACAUUGAACUAGAUAUACGUCACAACAACGGCGAAACUUUACUAUCUUCGCAUUGUUGAACAUUAUGUUUAGUUGGAGACUUUUACUUCAUGCAUAGUCUUUCAUAGCUUAUCCAUUUUAUGAAGUAGAGAAUCAUGUUGUAGUAAAAAAAAGUUACAUUUUACUUACCUUCGCUUUCCUAGCAUUUAUAGUCACUAACCCCGUCUUGGUAGUUUUGGCCUUGUGGUGCAUUCCUGAACGUCAGUAAUUGCCCCUGGGCAAUAUUUUUGAAUAGUCUCAAAAGCCGCCCCCUGUUUUAUGGUUUCCUUUUCAGAGCCUUCCCAACCGGCGGAGGCACGGGAUCGCGGCAAGGGGAACGCGUAGCCUAGCUAGCGAGGAGCCUUACUUGCGUAGGAUGGUUUACUCUUUCUUUGUGUAGCUGAGAGAGUGAGGUUUUGUUCGCAUGGUAAUAGGAGACCCCAACCUAUGUACUCUACUCUUAGCCACCUGUAACCUGGGAUUUACUUGUAUUAGCUUCAUGUUUUCAUUUAUGGAUUUACAGUUUUGUCCCGUAUAUCUGAUUACGUAAUUUAGACCCAUUUAUUAUGGCUCUGAUACUCGCUAGAUGCCGUUUUUAGUUAUAGCUUUUUAUUAUUAUUGGUUGUUAACGCCUUCAUGGCGUUAGACGCAGGCGGGUCUGGGCAGGGCGUGCCGGGCGGGCUUUCCGCUGGGUCACGGGGGCGGGGGGCGUGACAGAUUAAUCUUGUAUCAGAGCCUAGGGUUUGAGUCUUUGGGGACGCUAAGGCCAACCUUAGGCCAGUUGGACUAAUAGGCAUAGGCCUGCGUGAUAGACGAGGUUCUAUUCGACUUGUGAGCGAAUAAGUAUCAUCGAUUGGGUUAUCUAUGAAACUGCUACAAAAGUUAGAGUUGAUUGAGUGUUUGGCUCCUAACUUCGCGGAGGGUACGUUGGCCCGGCCGACACGUAACAAUCCGGGAAGUCUAUGUCAGUGGUAGAACACUUCUCUACUUUCGCAUGAUUUGGGGUUUUGUUUUGAGCGGGGAUGUCGAACGCGUGAGUAUCUUCUAAACUUGCGCUUUAUGUCCUUGUAGUGAGGGAAUGCCCGAUUACUCCUCCAAAUCUUGCCGGGGCGGACCAAUGGCCAAAUUUGAGGAGGUCGAGACUCCCGCUACCUCCUCCGUCCAGCGAGGUCCGUGAGUUGAGGGCGCCAGCUUGAGCCCUUACUGAUUUGGUUUACUGCCAGGCCAAGGGCGGUAGACCGGCCCGACAGAGACUGAGGCCCCGCCGCGCCGACAGGAGGCGGGUGAAGCCUCUGUGAGGAGCUUACUGUUCAGCAGACGGCAGGGCUUCUAGGAGACGCAGGGCCGCUACGCCGCCUGGCACCCAGUUUGUGGACGUUGCACCGACGCGAGCGCCGUCCCCGCGCCUAGAUUCUUGCGCGUGCGGUGCCUAGCGGCCGUACCCCCAGGAAGGAGGUUUUGGUAGCACCGCCUGUGCAGAGGCCCCCGGUUGGAGCAGCUUUCCGCUAUUUUGGUUGGGGGGUGGAGCGAGAUAGACUGAUGGAGCGCCCUCAAUGAGUUCAGGAGGUGCAGUCCCCCUGAGUCUUUGAUGGCGAGAAAGGUCGACCACCUGGAUGCGUGGAGAAGUUGAUGCAUAUGGAGGAAGCUCUUCGCGACACUUUCGUGGAGGAGAGGGACCAGAGUUUGCUCGCCACUCACCCUUGGACGGCGAGGCACCGCUGGUGGUUGGACUUUCAGGAGCACCCAGCACUGCUUGGCAUCGAUCACUUGGAGCGAGGUUCAAGGAGCCUUCUUCUAGCGGCACUACUUCCCGACCAGCGUCAAGAGGUAAGAUGGAGCAGAUCCUGGCGCAGCUGCGCGCAGGGUGACAGGACUGUAGCCGAGUACGAGAGAGAGUUUUCCUCGGCUUCCUGCAUUGCGUGCCUUCGUCGUGCCGGGUUGACGACGAAGGACAAGGCCCCGCACUUUGACGAGGAUUGAGACCGUCUAAUUUCUUCGGUUUGUGCAAUCCUCCUAACCUCCCAAACCUACCGGGAGUGGUGGAUCGCGCGCUAAAUCGUGGAGAGCCGGCGCGGGCAGAGGUCCUGAGCAAGCGAGAGGCUAAGGACAAGGGUAAGGCCAAGAGGCCUGCGGCGAGGGUGCGAGCCAGACGCACUCUAGGAGGCCGCCGAAAGCAUCCGAGGGAGGCCAGGCAGCGUGGACGCGGCCCCCUCAUAGCCGCAUCCCGAGGAGGAAUCCGAUCCGGCGCCGGCCUUCCCCGUGUGUGAUCUGCGGUGGUCCCCCACUACCCACCCGCAGUGUCGCACCAGCGGGCCGGGCAGGUUUUCCCAAGUGUGCCACAGAGGGCCAACCGUUGCGUAACCGAAGUCCGCGGAGGUUCUUCACCGCACCGUCGACUGCACGGCACCCGCUCUACCCCAGCGUCAGGGCCGACGGAUCCUCCGUCGACACCAGUACCAGCCCCUGCGGGCCCGGCCAACCCGUCCAGCGCCAGAGCGAGGGAACGGGCUCAGACCAGGCCCCGAGUGGGCGCAUUGUCUGCCGCUUCAGACCUGAGUGAGCCCCCAGGCAGCCGAGGAUUGUGGUUGGCAGGUAAUCCAUUUUACUUGAUGGCAUUAGAGUUCGUGCUUUAAUGUUGAUACUCGGUGCAUCGCAUUCAUUUUAAGAUAUGGUCUUUUGCCGAGUUGCAAGGCACCCUUUGGUUCCUUUGUCGCAUACGGGAGCAUGUCGUAUGUACCGACCACAUCUGUGGACAUUAGAGAGUAUAGCCCCAGUUGCCCUAAUUUCGGGCUAGGAGACUGGAUUUAUCGCCUAUAGAUUUGCCUAGGCUUGCGCAAGCUUGGGAAUUUUUGAUUGUGGUCUUGGGCAAUGGAUUGGUUGACCAAGUAGUUACUGCCACGAUUGAUUGCAAGAAUCGCGACCGGUUACUUUUAGAGAACCCUGGGGCCAGAGACCGAGGUGGUAUUUUGUGGAUGCCGAAGUUCGCUGUUUGCGAUGACGAUCAGCUCGUCUCGAGCUAGGCAGGCUGAUCAGUAGAGNNNNNNNNNNNNNNNNNNNNNNNNNNNNNNNNNNNNNNNNNNNNNNNNNNNNNNNNNNNNNNNNNNNNNNNNNNNNNNNNNNNNNNNNNNNNNNNNNNNNAACAGAAAGAGAAUAGAUAAGAGGGGCCGCGUGAGUACUAUCUAUUUAACUACCCCGCUUAUGUUCUUAUUGUGUGUGCAGUUGUUUACCUGCUUCAUGAAAUGCAUCGUUCACUAGGUCCGCACAUCGUAUAGAAUAAGUGGCUGUCAGUGGACAAUAUGAUCAAGCGAUACAUUGCGUCUGUAGUGUAAUAAGUAAACGGUUACUUCAUUAUAAUUGCGAUUACCGCCAUUCUCUGUAAUUUACAUACAGUAACGUGAAGCAACUAUGCACUUACUAUGAUCAUGAACACCCCACACAUGCAUAUAAAGGUCCAAACUUGCAUCGAUUGGUAACCUACCCUCAAAGUCACUCAACUCGUAAUUCCGUUAACGAUCAUCAUUUGUGUUACGCUCCAUUUAGUCUAAGCUCACUUUUUAAUACUUUACUCAUUUCAUGACAUGUUCUGCUUCACCACCGCCAAGCUUCGCAAUCAUUAUAAUACCCAUCCACCUCAGGCUGUGGUCUUUUCGCUGUUGUUGAUGCUCGCCGUGUAGUAACCAUCUCCACUCUAGGAUAGCUUCCCCACGCACUCCUACUUCGGUCAUCCCCCCCAACUUGCCGUGCCCGGCCCGACGCAAUUCAUGUCGUCCCUGUGAUUGGUCUAUCUUCGGAUGCGCUGUAGGGACUUGAUCUUUCCACUUAUAUCAUUUCGUGGCACCAUCAGCACAGGCACCUCAACCCCAACCACUUUGAUUCCGCCUCAGGAUUAUCAUAGUUCUUGCCUAUGUCUAUAUCAAUGCAUGGAAAUAUUAAUGAUAUUCUAAUGUCGUCUUUUUCUUAUUGUAUCAUGUUCUCUAACAUCUGGGAAGUGCAGAUAUUUUUACGUGGUCAUAUUCAACUUAUGUCUUUUAUCGUCAUUUUUUUAGUUUAUAGUUCAAUGAUUCUUUUGAUGACAUUCGUUCCUGUUUUUCUAUCGCUCAAUUGUAUUAUGGCCAACUAUAUUUUUCCAUAGUUAAAUGUUCAUCUAUUCAAUUCUCAUUUAAGAGUUCUACUUCACUGAUUUGCUUAAAGUAACACUGUUCUUCGUUUAUGGCAUGGCGUUCAUAGCUGGAUUUAUAUUCUCUACCUUAUAUUAGUGAAAAUUGUUGUUCAUAAUAUACAAGGCAUGAUUUUAAGGUGCUCUAUAUAAGUUUAUAUAAAUCUAUUUGUACAUAGCAUGAAACUCUUAAAAUAUUUUUAACAAAAGUAGAUAAGAGCAAUAGGGGGCCAUUUCGCGUUAGCCUCGCCAUUUCUACAAGCCAAAUCCUCACCUUGAUGAACGAAAACUCCGCGUGCUGUUUCGGCUCACCAUGAGGCCGUGUCCCUCUAGCUCGCUAGUACCUCUAGAGGUAUAUUUGAAACAGUUCAUAACGAGCAAACCUAUCAAACACCUACUCAAUCAUUAGUCUAAAUAAGCAAGGUUGAGGAAAACUCAUUUCCCGCUAAGCUUGGCAAAAAUCCUCUAUAAGCUUCCAAAAGGCUUGAGCCCUCGCAAUCCAGACUAAAGUAGCUCAAUCACUCAUAGAGCUUCAAAAACCCUAGAUUCAAAAUCUGCCAAUUUAAAGCCUAAAACCUCAUUCUAUGUUUCUAUCACAAGAGCUCAAUAUAAAUUAAUUUAGAUGAAAGAUUGAGCUACUGAACCUUUAAGAUGCUUCAAACAAGCUCAAAAUGCUUAAGUUCCAAAGAGCUGAGCUCAAUCGGCGCUCAAAAACCAAGCCUAGCUAAACAAUGGUGAGAGAGCCAUAAAAGGAGAAAAGGAAAGAUAAUCCUCUCAAAAAUCCAUCUAAAUGGAGAUAAUAUCCAAGCUGGAGCAAGGGGCUCUCACUUCUCGCUCUCUUGGUUCAACACAAAAAAGCGCCUAAGGGGAGGUGGGUUGCUGUAAAACAGCCAAAUGCGAAAACCCCUGCAUAUUGCUUUGGCAACUGCCCCUGGUACCGGACACGUGCUCCUGACGGUAGAACCCACAAUAUGCAAACCCGAGCUCGGUUCGCGGGCUGCGGUUCUGUAACCGUCAGCCCUGGCAUGUAACCUGGUACAACUAUUCAACUUGACCGUACAAGGACAUUCUUGUGUCGGAUCAAUCUUGGCUGGCACGGCUACAGAGUGACCAAAAAUUCAUUUGGGAUUGCGUCGAAGUUCAAUCCAACAUCCUCGGAUCGUGCCAGGGUUGGAACAAUCAAUCAACUACCUCCAAAAAACAGUGGCAAAGGUCCAAACACAGAUAAACAUCUUGAAUCUGGGCAUUUGCAAGAUCCAUGCAUUACAUUCGCUCUAAUAAAGGAUUCGUCCGCUGGAACUCAAAGUGCGACUGUACCUCAGACGGGGCCCGUGGAAAAAAGAUGGAUAGCGCUCUUGCAGUCGAACUCUCUAUCCCACGGUUGCCUCGCGCGUCCGCGUGUUGCCGUUCCAAAGAAGCCUUCAGAUAGGAGAAUAGGUCGCGAUUCGCAGGCUUCUUUACUUUCGCGAGCGUAAUAAGUUUUCCAGGUUGCUCCUCGAGUCAAUGGCCGCGGACUCCACGUGGUAUAUUCACAAGACGUGAAGUGAUCAUGAUUACUUACCGAAGGCACCCGAUACUAUAAAAGACUGUGCAGGCCGGAUAGGUUUCAGUGGGUAAGCAAGUCGAUAUCCUACCGACUAACAGCCCAACGAUCUCAUACGGUCCCGAAUAAACGGGGGCUGUCACUUUCCCCGUCCCAAUUCUUUGAUCUCUAUCCGAGACUUCAAAAAUGUCAACUUGAACCAAGCUCGCCGUGUCGUCGGCUGUCUGCUCCUUCUGUGCCUACUCUGGUCUGUCAAAAUCGGUACCCGAGCGAUUUCGAACCUUGUCCUCCAGCUUCGCUGGAUCUACAUUAGGGCCAAGAAGCAAGUCUUCCUCGACUUCAUCCAAUAGAAGUGGCGAAUCAUACAUUUCGGUCGUAAAGGGCUUCGAAGGGCGCGCCAUUUGAUUUGCUUAUUAACUGUUGUUAUAUACAAACCGAUUAUUGUAGAUGCUAGCGAUACAUGCCCUGGAAGUCUAAUGACCAGCUCGGAGCAUAUCCUCUAAGGGAAUAGUGCCUCCGACUGUCCAUCACUCUGCGGUGAAUGCUGGUACGAUCCAAUUCGGGUGCCUAAGCGUCCUGUAGGCUCCUCCAAAGUGAAGCACGAAGCGCGUGUGUCGAUCAGAUACAAUCGAUGUAGGCAUCCAUGAAAUGCGGCAAUCUCAUAAGGUAACCUGUGCGAAGCUCUCUCGCGGUCCAAUACAGGUUAUGAAUAGGUAAUGAAAGUGCGCCGACUUCGUACAUAUCAAGAUCACCGCAAAUACAUCGAUGCCCGACUGGAGGAGAAAUCCUGUACGAUUCCAUGUGAUUUCUCCACUUCACACUGGAAUUGGCCAAAUCUCUAAGCAUCCACCGCGAACCGUGCUGCUGCUUACUUUGUUGGCAAGUUAGACAACGAGCCACAAACUCGCAAACGUCCUUUUUAUCCGGCCCAAUAAGCAACUUUAGAUCCUUGUAAUCUGGGUCCCGGAUGUAUAGCUAGGGCGGCCCACGUGCGCCUUGUUGAAGAUAUCUUUUUAAUUCCGAAUCCCCGACACAUAGUCGUCUGAAAGCGAUCACCCUCGUCGUCACCAGGAAUCACACGGAUGCCACAUAAAACUCAUUUUUCUCUACAUCUUUUGGCAAUUCCAAUCAGAAACAUGCUAUCCUUGAUUCGUCCAACAAGGUAGGUAUUGCACUAACUAAUGUCAAUCACGCUCAAAGGGUGUAACAGAGGUCACUAUCUUCUCCAACACCAACCGCUUCAUCUGCUAUCAACUGCGGUUGAGUCACAACAUGCAUUCGUAAUUUUCCAGUCGAUUUUUACUAGGCAUGAUCCGCCACCCGCUCACUUACCUUGCCCGGGUGUAAAGAAUAGUCAGAUCAUCAUCCUUGAGUAGCUCCAACCACUGCGCUGCCUCAAGUUCAACUGAUACGAAUAUGAGGGAGACGCAACUAUUCUGAGUAAUCAGUAGGUACUGUUUUAGCUCUUGUGAUCCGUGUAUAAUUCGCGUCGCUCAUAAAGGUAGUGGCGCCAGCUUCAAUGCGAAACUAGGCCGCGCAACUUCCAAUCAUGCGUCGGGUAGUUCUUCUCAUAUUCCUUAGUUGGGAAAACCAUCGCGAUCACACUGCCAUCCUGCACUCAAUACACAGCCAGUUCGUAAGUGAAGCAUCACUAUAAACCAACAUACCCUGCUCACAGCUAUGGUAGGCAAGAUCGUGGCCAUCUCAGUCUCUGCUCUCAACUCUUGGAAGCUUCAUCUCGCAAGGCAUCAAUUCAAAUGAAACUUGACCUUUGUGGCUUGAAGCCCGUGGGGGAAUUAGAAUAACCUUGCACAUCUUCAACGAAUCUCCGAGAUAACCGGCAAUCCAAGGAAAGGAUCCGUAUCUCCGUGAGUCGCGUCCGCAAUCCUUGAAUUUCUGUCAUAUUUUCUGGGAUCCACUGCAUAAUCCUGAUCCUGAAAUCAAGUGUCCAAGGAAGACUUACUCUCGAUAGCCAAAAAUUACACAUUUCUUCAACUUGUAUAAACUCCUUUUCUCGAAGUACUUGUAGCAGAGGGUACAGAUCUCAAAUGCUCCUCGUGAUUCACAUCACAUUCGUGAGUAACCAAAUGUCGCGAUGAACACCUACAGAACCUGUCUAAUUAAGCUUAAAACACGUCAUCAGAUCCAUAAAAGCUGCCGGGGCAUUAGUGAGCCGAACGCAUACGUGAACUCGUAAUGUCAUACCUGUGUUCUGAAAGCGUCUUUGAUACUCUCGGCUGAUUUCAAGCUGGUGGAUCCGACUGCAAGUCGAUCUUGGAAUACACACAUGAUCCCUGAAGCUGAUCAAACAAGUCGUCGAUCCUUGGCAACGGAUACUUGUUCUUGAUCGUGACUUUGUUAAGUUCACGAUAAUCCACACAAAGGCGAAGUGACCCGUCCUUCUUCUUGACGAACAAAACGGGUGCUCCCUAAGGUGAAACGCUCGGUCGAAUGAAUCCUUUGUCCAACAAAUCCUGCAGCUGUGCCCUCAGCUCCCUCAGCUCUGCCGGUGCCAUCCUAUAGGGUGCUUUUGAGAUUCGGGUAGUCCCAGGGACGAGAUCUAUCACAAACUCAAUCUCCUUAUCAGGAGGCAUACCUGGUAGCUCGGCUGGAAACACAUCCUGAAACUUGAAGGCAUGCACCAAUCUGAAAACUCCGAGCCGUAGACCUCGAACAAAACAAUCCGCCCGGUCCUGCUCUGUCGCCGCCACGUCCGGGACGCAGCUCAGGAGAUGGGUGAACUCCCGCUCGUACUCCCGAACCGUGCGGUUGCCUUGCUUAAGCUUGCGAAAAUCUUCUCGCAUCUUCCUCUUAUCACUGUCGGGGAAGUACUCGGCGAACAUCAGUUUGCGGAACUCCGCCCAAUCGAUCGGGGGAAGCUCCGGGGAUCGGUCCUGCUUGACCCUCCUCCACCAAGUCCUGGCCCGCUUCUCGAAGCAAUGCGCGGCCAAGUUCACCUUGUCCUUUUCCAAGGUGAAGAUGUCCUCAAAUAGAGUCUCCAUAGCCGUCAGCCAAGACUCCACCGCAGCUGGGUCCACCACCUCUCCGUCGAAAGUAGGCGGGCGAAACUUCGUGAACCUCGUGAGCGCCACGUAGCCGCGCUCACGCUCCGCCUCCUCAGCCACUACCGCGGGUGUAGGAGAACUCGAACUCGCCGGAGGAAUAUCCACCGGUGGGGGUUGCGCCACCACCGGAACCGAUACGCCACCCACACCCUCGGCCGCAUCAGGAGCGCGAACCGAAGGCGCAGGCGAACAGCGGCCUGGAUCCGCUGCCGCAGCCGCCGCCGCAGCUUGCUGCUCCAGCAGCUCCUGAAUCCUAUCGAACCGUCCAGUGAGCGCUGCAACUUGCGCUCGCAACUCCUGCACCUCAGUAGGCUCAGCUGACACUGGCGUCACUGGAGGCACGGCUGGCUCGGGCACCUCUCGAGGUGGUGCCGGAGCGGUCCUACGCACGUAGCGUCUCUUUGGUGCCAUAGCUCCUGAAACGCAAACAGAUGGUCAAUUACUUAACCCAACAUCGUCGUCGUAAUUGCGAAACAUAACGAUUAAACAACAUCAAUCAGGCGGUAGCUUGCAAGUGUCUUAAUUCUCGACUUUCGGCAUCGUGUUGUCGGCCGCCAACACAAUCACCUCAAGCCAAAAAUUAAUACCACUUGAAUCAUCUCUAGUCAUAACUAGAGUAACAACUCCAACGCCAAACCCAAUCAAUUAGCUUCCGCCGCGUCAUAGGUUCACGUCGCACUCACGCACCUAUAACCUUAGGGUUGCCAACCUAGAGUCUCCUAGGUCAUCCUAGACUCUCUCUUUUGCUUGCUCUUAACUCGCUCUGAUACCACCAACUGUCACGCCCCAGACCGCACCACCCGAAAACGGUACCAAUUUGGUCCGGUUCGAGGGCGGCGGCGCGACCGCCGAACGAACGGAGUUUCCCCCGUCCGCCCAAGGCUAAGCAACAGAUUGUGUACAACAAGUCCACAGAAAAAAUAACUUGCACUCAUACACAAUCCGCAACGAAACGAGAGCACAAACAGUGCUACAACCAACUAGAGCAAGCGAUACAAGUAAAACCAUACAAGUAUACAAAAGAGAGAAACUUAGCUAAUUGAGACUUAAUUGAAAUAUUAAACCUCUUUCGAUAUCCUUUAAACUUUAAGCAUUUAAUACAACUUGCAUUCUUUUUCCAGAUGAAUAUACAUCAUAAACUCUCCAAAACCUCACCCUAUACAACAUCUACUCUCAUAAUGUAACAAAAGUACAGGGUAGAGCUAAUGCAAGUAGGAAAGGUAAAGCUAUCAACCAAACAGCUAGGGCGCUAAGCCCUUGCCGCGAUCCAUCGAUGAAGGCCCGCUGUCCUGUGUACCUGUACCCCCAAUACCACACGGGGGUGAGAACUACGAAUAGUUCCCAGUGGGUUCGGCCGCCGACUCCGCCGAUCUACCCACUAUUGCACUCAGCAGGCAUAGGAGAUAUAUAUUAUGGCUAAUAUUAAAUAUAAACUGCAGCUAACGGAAAGCAGGUAUGUAAACACACUAUAGUCAACUAUCGCCAUUGGAAUCAUGAAUGCAUAUAUAAAUAAGCUGGUAAGUAGCAACUAUCAUAGUAGUUUAUCUUGACAACAUGCUACUAGUAAGCAAAUCAGCUGAUAUGAAAAAAGAUGCUACUAUGAACUCAAUCAUGGGGUAAGACUCAAUAGGUAACAAUCUCGCAAGGAAGCACAAGGUCCAAGCAAGAUCACUAUGCAAUCUCCGAGGGUACUAGCUGGUCAAUGCCCCGAUACGCUGCGAUAACAAGCGGCUAUCCGAGGCAGCAGCAGGCUGGCCUGCUAGUGCAAACUCCGGAGCCGACAACUUGAGGGGAGCGACCCCACCAAGCGCAGACAGCAAGUGAGCAAGAUCAUCUCACGAGCACAACAACAACCCUUUGAGGGUAAUAUUCAUCAUGGAAGACGGUAUAACUUGUACCAAUCUCAUUAGUGUCUCAACGACACUAAUGUUCUAAUAUCAAGAUCAUCAAAACAUAGUCCACCCGUCAUAGUUUUCUAGUAGAUGCAACUCGUCAUUUGACUCAUUUUUCAACACUAGUAACAACUAUCCUUUUGCAACAUAAGUCAUUUGUCAAUCUCAUAUAGGUUAAGAUUUUCAUCAAGCAAUCAUCAUGCAUACUAGAUCAUAAACCAACCAAGCAAGAUAUAUUUAUUGAACUACUAGCAUGCAAGUAUAAGCAACAAUAAUCAUUUUCCUAACCCUAUAUGUACUAUGCAUAAUGAAUCAAUUUAACUUAGACAUAGAAGGUGGCCCGAUGACUUCGGGAUGGCACUCCCCCACCUUAGGUGAUGCCAACAACACUCCGAGACGUGUUCUCGUGCUAGUCUUGUCGCCGCUUAAUUUUCGUUGGGUUAACUUCAACCCUUUAGCGCAUCAAAUGGCGAUAUCUUCGUGCCCACUCGUCGGAUCGACGAACCGUCUUCGCCUACGCGUUUAUAAGCAUAGAAAUUAGGUUUCUAACCCCUCAAAAGAGAUCAAACCCUAAUAUUUGCAAAAUCCCCAAAAUCAAGCACUAGGUUGAGCAACAAUAGAGAAUUCAUGGUUUCAAGCUCCAAAUUUGGGAUUGAACCUUCUCUUAAGCUUCAAUGGUUUCCCUUUGAACCAUUCUUAAGCAACAAAACCCUUUUUAAAACCUAGGUUUAGCAACAAUGAGAAAAACCAUAGGUGCUAGCCUCAAUGUGAGCUAGAUCCGUCAUCUCUAAGCUCAUUAGGUUCCAUUUGAACCAAUAAAAGCAACAAAACCACCCAAACCCUAGAAAUCCAAAACUAGGGUUAGAGCUUACCUCUAGGGUUUGUUCCAAAAUAAGCUUUAGCUUGAUGGAGAGGAGGGAGAAGAGCUUCUUGAUCUUCUCCUUGAUCUUCUCCUUCCUUUCUCUCCUUCUCUUCUUCUUCUUUCUUCCUCUUUUCUUCUUCUCCUUCCUUUCUCCUUCAACCGGUUAGAGAGAGAGAGGGAGCUAGAGAGAGGGAGGGGCUGUGAGAGAGAGAGAGGAGAUAGCUGAGAGUGAGAGGGUUAAGUCCUCUAUUGUAACAAUAUGCUAAAAAGCCCUCCAUUUAUCAAAUUUUGCAACUUAACCCGCUGCCUGCGCGCCCUUGUACCGGUACACGGUUUUUUUGUACCGGUACAAGCCCUGCGCGAUGGCCAAAACCGAGCGCAAACCGAGCCUCGGGUUUCUCUGUUUCGUAGAGCUUGUACCGGUACAAGCGAGCCUUGUACCGGUACAGCGCCUGAAGCCUUCGAACCCGAGAGCUGCGCAGCCCGGCUGCGAUGGUUGUACCGGCACAGCCAUCACCCUUGUACCGGUACAACAGCCCCUGAAUGCUGUUUUUCGAUCUGUUUCGAUUCCUUUUCGCGUCCAACAACGCUAAAACUAUUCCAACAUCUUUGGAACUUAUUUUUACUCUUCCAAAUUUGUUGGAACACCGAAUGGAACUUGUUCCAACCGUGCAAUCACCUACUUUGGUCCAUUUGGCCAAAGUUAGCCAAUAUCGUCGAAAUUCGAUAUCUUACACCUCAACCAAAGUAGGAAAAGCGGCUCCAACCGGAGGCCUCUGCACAGGUGGUGCCGCCAAAACCUCCUCCUGGGGUACGGCUGCAGGCGCCGCACGCGAAGAACUGAGCGCGGGGGACGGCGCUCUCGGUGCAACGUCCACAACUGGUGAUGGCGGUGUAGGGGCCUGAGUCUCCCUGGAGGCUGCCGCCUGCUGCAAUAGUAGAUCCUCCAGACGCUUCAUCCGCGUCUCCUGUCGGCGCGCCGCCUCAGUCUGCUGUCGGGCCGCCUCCGCCUGCUGAGUGACCAAAUCACUGAGGGCCGCAAGCUGGCCCCUCAACUCACGGACCUCGCUGGAUCCGGAGGUAGCGGAGGUCUCAACCUCCUCGAAGUUUGCCGCAUCGUCCGCCCCGGCAGAUUGGGAGCGAAUAAUCGGCAUCGUCACUACAACACCAUAAAAGCGCAAGUUAGUAAGAACCCACGCUAUCGCAUCCCCGCUCAAAUAAACAAUACCCAAAUCAUGUGAAAGUAAAGAAGUGUUCUUCACUACUAACUCCCGAUGUUACGUUGUCGGCCGCCAACGUAACCCUCCGCGAAGUUAGGAGCCAAACACUCCAAUCAACUCUAACUUUUUAGAGUUAUCAUAAUACCCAAUCAUGAUACUUUCGCUCACAAGUCGAAUAGACCUCGUCUCUCACGAGCCUAUUUCCUAUAGUCCAACCGGCCUAAGGUUUGCUAGGUCCCCUAAGACUCAACCCUAGGCUCUGAUACCAAAUUAAUCUGUCACGCCCCGGGACCCAGCGGAAGCCCGCCCGGCACGUGCCCAGACCCGCCAUACGUCUAAAACAUAUAAGGCGUCUAAAAACAACAAUAAUAAAAGCAAUAAUAAAAGACAUCUAGGAGUAUCAGAGCAUAAUAAAUGUCUAAAAGCUACAACAAAGGAUAAAGAUAAAACUGUAAAUCCACUAAAUAAAACAUAAAGUGAUACAAGGAAAUCCCAGAUACAAGUGCUAUAGGUAGAUACAUAGGUGGUCUCUAUACAUGGAUACAAAAACCUCUCACUCUCUCAACUACAAAAAGAAAGAGUAAACCACCUAGGCAAAGUACCGCUCCUCGCUAGCUAGCUAAGCGAUCCCCUUGCCGCGAUCCCGUGCCUCCGCCGGUGCCGAAGGCUCUGAAAAGUAAACCAGAAAACAGGGGCGUGAGAACUAUUAAAAAUAGUUCCCAGUGGGCAAUUACUGACUUCAGUGAACUGCGCCACAAGGCCCAAAAGCUACAAAAAGAUGUCAGUGACAAACAAUAAGGUAAAGCGAAAGGUAAGUAAAAUGUAACUUACUGUAACAUACAGUCUCUACUUAGCAUGAAUUGCAUAUGUAAUAGAGCAACAUUAUCAUGAAUGUACAUGGGUGUGUAUGACAUGCAUAAGCAUAGAAAUGCAACUAAUCCGAUGUCCUCAAUGCAGAAAUAGCAAAGGUGUCAUUGUUUACUAUUCUAGUCCAAGUCCACUUUAAUAGUUUUAAAGUUCACAUAGCACGUUCUGUCACUAAGUCCCAAUCAUAUAAGACCCACCCGAAGGCUGUCUGGCCUGCGCCGUGCCUAAUGGCCCCGUGGUAGUCAACAUCCCCACUCUAGGGAUGAGCCUCCCCCACGGCAAUCCACUUCGGCGCCCAAUCCCGCACGGGCGAGCAUAUGUCGCGAUGGCUAUCUCCGGAGUGCCGGCUUGUAGGGAGCGACCCUCACAAGCAUGUGCGAAUGAGCACAAUGGCAAGCAAGCAAUGAUCCGUCUCAAGAACCAAGUCCUCAUGUCUAACAACAUGGAAUAUAUCAAGUAUCUAAAUGGCCUAUCUCUAUGUCAUCAUGUCUCUAACAUGGAAUGUAGCAGAUAUGUAGUGGCCUAUCAACAUGUCUUUAUGUUGCAGUUUAAUAGUUUACUAGUUUCAAGUGCCCCUUGAUGACACUCUUGUUUUUCUAUGUCAAAGCAUGGCAACUAUAUUUCCAAGUACAUGUUCCAAGUCACGAUCCUCAUAAGAGGUGUACUUUUCACUUGCAAAAUGAACACCUUUCCCGUAUGCAUGCGUUCUACUCAUAUAGCUCUACUAUAUAGUGAAAUUUUUUUCAUAAUACACAAGGCAUGCAAUUUAAGUGCUCUAAAAUUUAUAUAAAUUCUAUUUAGCAUAGGCAUGAACUUAAAAAUAUUUUACAACAAGUAGAAAGAGCAUAGGGGCCAUUUCGCCCCCAUUUCCACGAAGCCAAACCCACCGAUGACAACGAAACUCCUCGUUCGCUCCCACGAGGGUGUCCUCUAGUCUCCUAGUACCCUAGAGGUAUAGAAACAUGUGUCAUACGAGCCAAACGAUCAAAACCUAGCUCAAUCAUUAAGCUAAUCAAGCAUAGGUGAGGAAAACUCACCGCUAGUGCAAAAAUCUCCUCUAAAGCUCCAAAAGAGAGCUUGAGCCCUUCCAAUCCCACCAAAUGGAAGCCUCUAAUCCACUCAAUCUAGCUUCAAAAACCCUAGAUUCAAAAUGCCCAAUUUAAGCCCUAAAACCUCAUUCUAUGGUUUCAUCACAAGGAAGCCAAUAAAAAUCUAAUUUAGAGGAAGAGGAUGAGCUACUAACCUUUAAGAAGCUUCAAACCAAGCUCAAAAUGCUCUAAGUCCAAAGAGCUCAGCUCAAUCAAGCCUCAAACCCAAGCUUCUAGCUCCAACAAUGGUGGAGAAGCAUAAAAGAGAAAAGGAAAAGGAUUAAUCCACCAAAAAUCCAUCUAAAAUGGAGAUCAAAUCCAAGUGGAGCAAGGUGGAGCUCCUCUCACCUUCUCCUCCUCUGGUUCCAGCACAAAAAAAGCCCUAAGGGGCGUGGGUGCUGUUAUAAAAAGCCCACAAUUGCGAAAAACCCCCUGCAGUUCCAUUCUGGGCAAACCUGCCCCCUUGUACCGGUACACGGGCUCCUGUACCGGUACAAAGCCCACGAAAAUGCAAACCCGAGGCUCGGGUCGCGGGGUCUGCGGCUCUGUACCGGUACAAGCCCGAUGGCUGUACCGGUACAACCAUCAACCUUGUACCGGUACAAGACCAUUCUUGUUCCGGUACAAGCUCUGCUGCAGGCUACCCGAGAGCUGACCAAAAAUUCCAGUUUCGGGAUUUUCGUGCCAAGUCUCAAUCCAACAUCCUCGGGAUGCGUGCCAGGGGUCGGAACACUAUCAACAACCCUCCAAAAACAGUGGAAAGGCUCCAAACACAGAUCAAACACUCGAAUCUUGCGAUUUGCAAGAUCCAGUGCAUUACAUUCACCCCUUCUAAAAAGGAGUUUCGUCCGCGAAACUCAAAAUGCGACGUACCUCAAGACUCCACCUGAAAAAGAUGGGGAUAGCGCUCCUGCAGCGCACUCUCUAGCUCCCACGUGGCCUCGCGCUCCGCGUGGUUGCCCCAAAGAACCUUCACAUACGGAAUAUCCCGAUUCCGCAGCUUCUUUACUUCGCGAGCUAAAAUCUUCACAGGUUGCUCCUCGAAGCUCAAAUCCUCGCGCAGCUCCACUGGUAUAGUCUCCAAGACGUGAGCUGGAUCAUGAAUGUACUUCCGAAGGACCGAUACAUAAAAGACGUCGUGCACGCCGGAUAGGUUCGGUGGUAGAGCAAGUCGAUACGCUACCGGACCUACACGCUCCAAGAUCUCAUACGGUCCAAUGAAACGGGGGCUCAACUUUCCCCGAAUCCCGAAUCUUUUGAUUCCUCUAGUCGGCGAGACCUUCAAGAAAACAUGGUCUCCAACUUGGAACUCCAAGUCUCGCCGUCGUCGGUCGGCGUCGCUCCUCUGUCUACUCUGCGCUGUCAAAAGUCGCUCCCGAGCGAUUCGAACCUUGUCCUCAGCUUCCUGGAUUACAUUAGGGCCCAAAGCAAGUCUCUCGCCGACUUCACUCCAAUGAAGUGGCGAUCUACACUUCCGUCCGUAAAGGGCUUCGAAGGGCGCCAUCUUGAUGCUUGCUUAAUAACUGUUGUUAUAAGCAAACUCCGCCAUAGGUAGAUGCUGCGACCAUCCUCCCUGGAAGUCUAUCACGCAUGCUCGGAGCAUAUCCUCUAAGGUCUGAAUAGUGCGCUCCGACUGUCCAUCACUCUGCGGGUGGAAUGCUGUACUGAAAUCCACAAUGCGGGUGCCUAAAGGCUGUCCCCUGUUAGGCCUCCUGUCCAAAAUUGAGACACGAAGCGCGUGUGCGCGUAUCAGAUACAAAUCGAUGUAGGCAACUUCCAUGGAAAAUCCGCAUAGAAAUUCUCAUCAACGGUUAAACAUCUUGAUGCGAGCUUCUCUCUCCCCCGUCCACAAGUCGUAUGAAUAGGUAGAAGUGCCGCCGACUNNNNNNNNNNNNNNNNNNNNNNNNNNNNNNNNNNNNNNNNNNNNNNNNNNNNNNNNNNNNNNNNNNNNNNNNNNNNNNNNNNNNNNNNNNNNNNNNNNNNNNNNNNNNNNNNNNNNNNNNNNNNNNNNNNNNNNNNNNNNNNNNNNNNNNNNNNNNNNNNNNNNNNNNNNNNNNNNNNNNNNNNNNNNNNNNNNNNNNNNNNNNNNNNNNNNNNNNNNNNNNNNNNNNNNNNNNNNNNNNNNNNNNNNNNNNNNNNNNNNNNNNNNNNNNNNNNNNNNNNNNNNNNNNNNNNNNNNNNNNNNNNNNNNNNNNNNNNNNNNNNNNNNNNNNNNNNNNNNNNNNNNNNNNNNNNNNNNNNNNNNNNNNNNNNNNNNNNNNNNNNNNNNNNNNNNNNNNNNNNNNNNNNNNNNNNNNNNNNNNNNNNNNNNNNNNNNNNNNNNNNNNNNNNNNNNNNNNNNNNNNNNNNNNNNNNNNNNNNNNNNNNNNNNNNNNNNNNNNNNNNNNNNNNNNNNNNNNNNNNNNNNNNNNNNNNNNNNNNNNNNNNNNNNNNNNNNNNNNNNNNNNNNNNNNNNNNNNNNNNNNNNNNNNNNNNNNNNNNNNNNNNNNNNNNNNNNNNNNNNNNNNNNNNNNNNNNNNNNNNNNNNNNNNNNNNNNNNNNNNNNNNNNNNNNNNNNNNNNNNNNNNNNNNNNNNNNNNNNNNNNNNNNNNNNNNNNNNNNNNNNNNNNNNNNNNNNNNNNNNNNNNNNNNNNNNNNNNNNNNNNNNNNNNNNNNNNNNNNNNNNNNNNNNNNNNNNNNNNNNNNNNNNNNNNNNNNNNNNNNNNNNNNNNNNNNNNNNNNNNNNNNNNNNNNNNNNNNNNNNNNNNNNNNNNNNNNNNNNNNNNNNNNNNNNNNNNNNNNNNNNNNNNNNNNNNNNNNNNNNNNNNNNNNNNNNNNNNNNNNNNNNNNNNNNNNNNNNNNNNNNNNNNNNNNNNNNNNNNNNNNNNNNNNNNNNNNNNNNNNNNNNNNNNNNNNNNNNNNNNNNNNNNNNNNNNNNNNNNNNNNNNNNNNNNNNNNNCUCCGAGUGCGUGUUUCCUCAGUUCAAGUAAACCUUACUACGCACGCUCUCUUCGAAGGUUCUCAACUUCGUCUCUGACUGCUGGCGGGGCUAGAACUGGGAUGGUCAUCGACCUCGUCCCAUACACCAAAUAUCACUACGAAGUGAAUUGCCUGACCCGGUGAGGGGAGUAGAUAACCUUGCAAAUCCCUCAACGAAUCUCCGGUAGUAACCGGCCAAUCCAAGGAAGCUCCGUAUCUCCGUGACGCUCGUCGGUCCCGGCCAAUCCUUGAUUGCUUCAAUUUUCUUGGGAUCCACUGCUAUACCUGAUCCUGAAAUCAAGUGUCCAAGGAAGACUACCUCUCGAAGCCAAAAUUCACAUUUCUUCAACUUGGUAUAAAGCUCCUUUUCCCGAAGUACUUGGAGUACAAUCCUCAAAUGCUCCUCGUGAUCCACAUCACUCCGUGAGUAGACCAAAAUGUCGUCGAUGAACACCACGACGAACCUGUCUAGAUAAGGCUUAAAAACACGGUUCAUCAGAUCCAUAAAAGCUGCCGGGGCAUUAGUGAGCCCGAACGGCAUAACUGUGAACUCGUAAUGUCCAUACCGUGUUCUGAAAGCCGUCUUUGAUACGUCCUCGGGCUUGAUCUUCAACUGGUGGUAUCCCGACUGCAAGUCGAUCUUGGAAUACACACAUGAUCCCUGAAGCUGAUCAAACAAGUCGUCGAUCCUUGGCAACGGAUACUUGUUCUUGAUCGUGACUUUAUUAAGUUCACGAUAAUCCACGCAAAGGCGAAGUGAUCCGUCUUUCUUCUUGACGAACAAAACUGGUGCUCCCCAAGGUGAAACGCUCGGUCGAAUGAAGCCUUUGUCUAACUGUAGCACACUGGAUCUUUGCAAAUUGCGAGGUUCGAGUGUUCGAUUGGUAUUCCGAACUUUUCCACACUUGGUGGAGGGCCGUUGAUGGUAUACCGGCCUAAAAGUUCGAUCUCGAGAGUUUUGGCAGAGUCCUGAGAGUUUUUACUCUCGGGGUCCGGUCCCUGAUAGGAGAGACCGGUCCCCCAGUGAACAGUACCGCGCAGCAGGCGAGGCAACCGGUCCUUGGCAGUUGAGACCGGUCCCCGAGCCCGUCUGCGCGGGGAGAGACCGGUCCCGCGCAGGGAGAGACCGGUUCCCGAACGCUGGUUUUUCGGGUUCGCAGCGAGAGACCGGUCCCUGCUGGGGAGAGACCGGUCCCUCUGGGCGAAAACUGCCCAGUCCGGGCUGAUGUAAAUUUGAGUUUUUGAGGGGCCUAUGUGGAUUUUGUUACUUUAGAGGCUAUAGGCAGCCUCUCCUCCCCUCUCACUCUCAUUUUCUCUCCCUCACACUCUUCCUACACUUCUAGAGAGAGAAAGGGAAGGAGAAGAAGGAGAAGAAGAGGAGAAGGAGCUUGCAUAGAGGCCUUGGGGCAUCAUCUUCUUCCUCAUUUUCCACCUUUGGAGGCUUGGAGCAUGCGGUUGGAGCCUUGUGGAGGAUCAAACUCCAACCCUACUUGGUUUUGAGCUUGGAUUGGGGCUUCUCUUGAGGUUGGUAGCUUAUAAUCCCCAUUUGAUACUUGUUUUCCUAGGUUUUUCUAGAUGAAACCCUAGAUUUUGGGAUUUAGGGUUUAUUUUGGGGGUUUUUGGAUUUGAGGGUUAUGAGACCUAAUUGAUGGGUUUGGAACCUUUAUAUAGGUUAGAUUGGAAGACCUCUACCUUCCAUUUGAGGAUUUAGAGAGGGUUUUCCACUUGAGGUGAGUUUCUCCCAACCCUAGCUUGAGUUGGGUAAUGUUUGAGCUAUUCGCUCUCCGUUUCGUUCGGGUGACCCUAUUUUUGAUGUUUCUAGGGUACUAGGGAGCUCGUGGAUAUCUUCGUUCGGCGAAACGAAGAAGUCGAUCUUUUUCGGUGGGUUUGACUUCAUGAAAAUGGGGCAAAAUGGCCCCUAUGCCUUCUAAACUUUUUGUAAAGUAUUUUCGAAUGCAAAUUCAUGCUAAACAUGAUUUAUAUGAAUUUUAGAACACCUAAUUUGCACGCUUCAUGUAUCGUAAAAAUUGUACUCCAUAUAGUAGAGCUAUAUGCGUAGAUUGCAUGCAUUGUGGAUAGUGCUUGGUUUUGCAAGUUGAGAACAUGACUCCAUGCUUGAAUUGAGUGAACUAUGCAUCAUGANUGGCCCCUAUGCCUUCUAACCCUUUUGUAAAGUAAUUGUGAAUGUAAAUUCAUGCUAAACAUGAUUUAUAUGAAUUUUAGAACACUUAACAUGCAUGCCUCAUGUAUCGUAAAAUUUGUACUCCAUAUAGUAGAGCUAUAUGUGUAGAUUGCAUGCAUUGUGGAUAGGGCUUGGUUUGCAAGUUGAGAACAUGUCUCCAUGCUAGAAUUGAGUGAACUAUGCAUCAUGAACAUAUUAAUACCAUGCCUUGGACUCGUUGAACAAAGUGUCAUAAAGAGGCACUUAGAAAUAGUAAACUAUGCAAAUGCAACUUAGAGACAUGAUGAUCGGCCAUUGUACAUCUGCUAUAUAUUUCAUGUUAUUAGACAUGAGGACUUGGUACUUGCGACAGAUCGUUUGACUACCUGCCAUUGUGCUCAUUCGCACAUGCUUGUGAGGGUCGCUCCCUACAAGCCGGCACUCCGGAGAUGGCCAUCGCGAUACAUAUUCGCCGUGCGGGAUUGGGCGCCGAAGUGGAUUGCCGUGGGCCAGGCUCAUUCCAAGGGUGGGGAUGAUGACUACCACGGGGCCAUUAGGCUCGGCACCGGCCAGACAGCCUACGGGUGGGUCUCAGGGCCUUAGACAGCCUUCGGGUGGGUCUCUUCAGAUUUGACUUCGAGUAUUCAUGACGACUUAGAGUAUUACUUGGACAUUGACUAGAAUAGUAAAUAUCGGCAUUGUACUAUUUCGCAUUGUGAACAUUAUGUUAGUUGGAGACUAUUACUUCAUGCAUAGUUGCUUUCGUACUCAUGCUAUUUAUGCUAAGUGGAGACUUUAUGCUAUAGUAAGUUAUAUUUUACUUACCGUCUAAUUAUUACAUUGUUAGACGCUGACCUCUUCUUGUAGCUUUUGGGCCUUGUGGCGCAGUUCACUGAAGUCAGUAAUUGCCCACUGGGAACUAUUUUUAAUAGUUCUCACGCCCCUGUUUCUAUGUUCCCUUUUCAGAGCCUUCGGCACCGGCGGAGGCACGGGGUCGCGGCAAGGGUGUCGCGUAGCUAGCCGGGAGAGUUUCUUUUGCGCUAGGUGGUCGCUUCUUCUCCAUUUUAUAUUUUGAGAGAGCGUGAGGCUUUUGGUUUCCAUGUAUAGAGAGACCACCUGUGUACCUACUUUUAGCACUUGUUAUGGGAUCCCUACGGUACUUACUUUAUGUUUUAUUUAGUGGAUUUACAGUUUUAACUUUAUCCCUUGUUGUAGCAAUUAGACAUUUACUAUGCUCUGAUACUCCUAGAUGUAUUGUAUUAUUGCUUUUAUUAUUGUUGCUUUUAGACGCCUUAUAUGUUGUAGACAUAUGGCGGGUCUGGGCACGCGCCGGGCGGGCUUCCGCUGGGUCCCGGGGCGUGACAGAUUAAUUUGGUAUCAGAUCCUAGGGUUGAGUCUUAGGGGACCUAGUAAACCUUAGGCCGGUUGAACUAUAGGAAAUAGGCUCGUGAGAGACGAGGUCUAUUCGACUUGUGAGCGAAAGUAUAAUGAUUGGGUAUUAUGAUAACUCUAAAAGGUUAGAGUUGAUUGGAGUGUUUGGCUUCUAACUUCGCGGAGGGUUACGUUGGCGGCCGACAACGUAACAUCGGGAGUUAGACGUGGAUAACACUUCCUUACUUUCGCAUGAUUUGGUUAUUGUCUUUUGAGUGGGGAUGCGAUAGCGUGAGUAUUUCUAACUUGCGCUUUUAUGUUUUGUAGUGACGAUGCCGAUUACUCGCUCCCAAUCUGCCGGGGCGGACAAUGCGGCAAACUUUGAGGAGGUCGAGACCUCCGCUACCUCCGGAUCCAGCGAGGUCCGUGAGUUGAGGGGCCAGCUUGCGGCCCUCACCGACUUGGUCACUCAGCAGGCAGAGGCGGCCCGACAGCAGACUGAGGCGGCGCGCCGACAGGAGGCGCGGAUGAAGCGUCUGGAGGACCUACUGUUGCAGCAGACGGCAGCUUCUAGGGAGACUCAGGGCCCUACGCCGCCGGCACCAGUUGUG